rnacentral:lncRNA from 1 species
GUACUUACAAUUUUGAGGUGGUUCAAUUCACCAUAGUCGGGCUUAUUAUUGCCAAACACUUGCAAAACCUCUUGCCUUGCACGUUCUUGCCAAUCUUGAUGCUUGCUCAAUAAGACCAUUGUCCAAUUAAGCAAAACAGAGGUAGUCUCUUGGCCGGCAAGGUAAAAUAGCUUACACUCUUCGAUCACAUCGUUCAUGCUGAACCCAACAUUUUUGUUAUUUCCAUGUUCUUCAAUCUCUCUAAAACUGGUUUCCAUCAGUAUGCCUAACAAGUCAUCAUUCGCAGCUUCCCCUGCUCUCAUUGCCUUCUCCCUAUUUUUGAUGAUUCCCAUCAAUGAAGCCCGGAUUUCCUUGUCAAUUUCUUUCAUUCUCCUAUUUCUCUUUGUAGGUAAAAACCUAUAUAUAAGCAAUGAAACAACUUUAAAGACAAGAACUAAACAAACUAAUCAAACCCUUAAUUUUUUUUUUUUACCCUCUUUUUACCAAUCAGAAAUCUGCUGGAGCCUCUUAGAAUAACUCUAUGAUUAGCUCAAUCAAGAUAUCUGAGCCGAAAUCAGCUAGGUCUACUUCUAAUAUUUUGCGCGAAAGAAAAUAACUCCCACAAAGCUAAUCAAAGCCUACUCAUAAAUAAUCCUAUAUGACAUGUAUAUAUGAAUGUUUCCAGUGAAGAGAAAUGUGAAUAUACCUCCAUCCUGGAAUGUGAACUGAACGAAAGACUUGCAUUGUGAGUUCAGCUAGCUCUGCCUGGAGCUGAAAAAUCCUUCUUCCUUCUUCAUAACUACUCCCAAAAGCCGUUCGAGAAAUCACAUCACUUGUUAAAUUUGCAAGAUAAGGCCAUACAUCCAACUCAGAUGAUCCUUCUACAGACAUUUGCUUCUCCCACUUUGUAAUUAUUUCGGUACAACUCAAGUAGAAUGCUGGCAACAUAAGCUGUAACAAAAGCAAGAAAUCUAAAUGAGGGCAAAAUCGAAUCUUCCAAAGAUAUGUAAACAAAUGGAGAAGUUAAUUAAUAAACCUUGAGCUUCUCUUGGUGGAAGGCUGGGUUGAUGAGUUUUCUAUGUUUAGCCCACUUCUCCCCCUCAAGGCUAGCCAAUCCAACUAUCAGCAGCCUGGCAAGUGGGAUUGAAUUGACUUUUUGAAAAUCAUUGAUCUUGGUAAAUAUCGCUUUUAUUUGAUCAGGAUUCAUAAUAUUCACCCUUGGUGUCGGACCAAACCACAUGAAAGAAUUCUUACCUGCAGAAAUUUUUUACCAAUAUACGCACAUGUUACUUGUUAGAGGCAGAUGGUACAUUGAAAAUGGUAGUAUACCUAAGCUGUGAAAAAUUAGUGAUUUUAUUCACAAAUCAGUCAAAGAAUAACCAUUCAUACUAAUUGAUUUUACCUCAAGCAGAAAAGAUCUAACAAGCAACUUUGCCCAUUAUAAGGUAAACAAUUAGAAACAUGGCACGAUUUAUAAGAUAAUGUAAAAGCCUAACGGCGUUGAAACAGUGAAUUAAUCAGACAACACUCAGCAAAAGGAACAACGCUGCCCUCUGGGAAUUUUACAUGUGGCAUAGCCCAUCCACAGGUUGAAUUACACCCACGCACCUAUCUCAUCAAUACAUUAGUGGUUCUAGCCACUCAGUCAAGGCUGAGUGGUAAAGUAUCACCACUUAAUUAAAAAAAAAAAAAAAAGGAAAAAAAAGAGAGAGAAGUUUAGCCGCAACGUCGAUUUUUUUCUCUGAUCAAAGAAGCGUAAAAUUAUGUUUUAACCCACCAAAAUUUUCAAGAAUUAUCUUUACGUGAACCAUCUCUACUGAAUCAGAAGUCUAAUCAAAUUUCUUUCGUCGGAGAGGAUUAAUUCUUUAAGCAGUGGCACAGUCCAGAUAUUUGAGUCAUUUGAGACCAGAACAGAACGUAUCUACUUUUGAACGAGUAAAAUUAAAAGAGUACACGCCGGGAUUGACAUACAUACCAUAAUCAUUUACCAGUUUAUGAAGGAAUGGAUUGACACGAAUAGCAAUAUUGUCAUCCAAACUGAGGGGUCUGGCUUUGGCUUCCUUCAGCUCGAUGGAAUUUUCUUUCAAGUCACCAAACAGAAGCCUGUAAGAAUUGCCUUUUAAACCUUGCUGUCUCAGGAAUUUCUCCAGCUUCUUGGGCCUCAGCCACACCCAGUUCAGCACUCUCCAUGCCCAUGUUAGCACCGUUAGAAUAACAAUGGUAACAGCUAUGGAUUUCAGAGGCAACUCCAUUUCACACUGACAGAUUUUGCGGGUUUAAAUUUGCAGAGACGAACGAGAAUGAUAUAUAUAGUCAUCAAGCGAAUGAGAAAAUCGUUUUCCUUUGCAUGUGUUUUUGAUUAGGUGUUUUCUGGAUCGAUACGUGUCAAGCUUGCAUGUGACUGUGAACUGUGGACCCUGUUCUAGAACUAGACUGUUUGGGAUCGAUUAAUUUUAAAAAAUAAACUAAAAUUCAUAUGGUAAGAAUUUUUAAGUAUAAAUGUUUGUAAAAUAAAAUCUAAACCUACAUUUGAAUGGCAAGCAUCUAGAAACAAGAUCUGUAUUCUGUCAUAUGACGCCAGGAAAUAUACUGCCUUUUCGUAAAUGCAUAAUCAAGCAGCAUGAUGUGCUCUGCUUUCACACGAAUGUAGGUCCACUUUGUCUUGGCUUUUACGGAAUUUCAAUUCUAUUGUUAUGGGGAUUAAUGGCUCUGCUUAAUUUUGGGGUCUGCUUUCAGAGAAAUACAAAACGAUUAGAACUCUGCUUUGUGAUACAGACAAGACGCAAUGGAUCUAUCAUCUUCAUCUCUACUCCUAUUUCAUUUAUCUUUAUCAUGAAUAUAAUCCACGAUUCUCAAACAUGAUAAACAAGGUCACAAACUAUGGUGUACCAAUCGGCUGUUUUUUUUUUAACUUAAUUAAUUUAAUUUAAAUCAUUGAGUCCAUUUAUUUUUUCAACUUAAUGAAAAUUUUCAAUCACUAAAUCAUUCAGUUACCAAGCUAAUUUUUAAAUUUUUUGUUUAAUCUAAAAAGUCUAAAUAAUAACAUUAAAAGAUUUUCUCUAAAAUAUCUCUAUCUAAUUAAUUAAUUUUUACCCUUACCUAAAUAAAUUUUAAUAAUUGAUGUUAUUACCUACCUCUAUAACUUGUGAUAAUAUAGUGCACUAGUAGACUACUAUUAUUUUUUAUUUUUUAUUUUCUUCAAAUUAAAAUUAUUUAUCUUCAUAAUUUUUCAUAAUUAUUUUUCAUAUAAAAACAUCAUAAACUAUAGUAAAAUUGAUUAAUAUAUACUAAUUUAAAAUAUUAAAAAGAGUAUAGACAUUAUGAGACAGUAUCAUUAAGCAGCUACUGGAAUAAGAUGUUAUGAGCCUAAAUUUUAUAAGGUCAAAGUUGAAUUUGGCCGAUCCUUUAACAAAAAAAACUAAACAAGAGUUUAGUAGAGAUCACAUCAAGGGAGAUGGGACUAGUGGCUAGAUCAUAAGACAAGAGUGAUGGUAACCCUACCUAUGUGAUUGGAGAUCCAUGAAAAAUGUUCAAUAAGUUACUUGUUGUUUUGGAAUGCUCUCAAUAUUAUGUAAUCUUAUUUUUAUUCAAUAAAGAUUUUCUUUAUUUAUAAGUCCUCCUUAUAAUAAGAUAAUGUUUAUCGCAGUGAGUUAGGUUAAGCAAUUGAGCUUUUCAUGAACUCCAUAACUCAAUUUUUAUGUAUGAUGGUGUGUUAAAACUGCAUGACAUACUUGAUGGAGGUUCACCUAUGUUAGUGUGGAAUUGGAUAAGUUCCUAUGAGAGUUAAACAUGCUUCUCUAGAGCGCUCAUGAAUACAAGGGCACAGGGCUACUAAAGUGCCAAACCGCAGAACAACAAAAUAUUGAGAGAGUUUAAUGUGAGCUUCUAGUCAUCUGCCUUACAAAAAAAAGAAUAUUGGUUUAUAGAAAUUAUCAGUUUCACCAAGUUCCUAUGACACAUGGUUAGUUAUUCAAUGGCCAGUUCAUAGCCCCAAAGGCACCAGUUCAUAUGCAUUAAACUCUAUGGACAAUGAUGAAGUCGAAAGAAAUUGAGUAUUUUGAAAUAUGUGGAGGAUUGUUAAAGAUUGAGUUGGUAUUUUAAAAUACCAAUAUUCCACAUUACUUAAACAAAAGAGUACAAGUUGGUUUUUAUAUAGAAAACAAAUAUAGUGUAGUAACAAGCCUAUGAAGAGGAGGCUCAUAUGCAUGAAACCAAGCGCGAGAGAGGAGUUCAUUCCAUGACUCUAUUAAUUGGUUGCUCGUACCCAAUAACUCACUCGCAAUGGGGACCCUCCUUCCCCCCAUGGGGUGUCAUGUAUGAGUGUGGGCUUGGCCAUCUAUUAUGUUUUGUCCUUUGUUUUAAUUUUAUUUAUUUUAAUUCGAAUUAGAUUGAGAAUUCAAUUCCUAAUGGAAUUAGGAUUUAAUAAACAUAAUUAUAAUUCAGAUUUAGAGAGGAAAAGGGGGUUAGGGCUUGUAUCUAUUUAAAGAGCCGAAUAUAUCACACUAUGGUCAUCCAAAAACUUACUCUCUUGCUCUCUGUUCUUUGUUGCUCUUUGUUUUCCUUUCUUUCGUCAUUGUACGUUUUGCUAUUCUGAACUAUCAAGUUGAAGUGCAACAUCACAAUCGUAAUAGUAAUUGUAUCAUGGAGAUCAAACUACUUUUGUUAGCCCUUCUUGCACCGAAAUACUGCAUCUUGAGAUCAAGCUUAUUCCAACAUUUUUGUUGUUUCCAUGUUCUUCAAUUUCUCUAAACUUGGUCUCCAUCAGUAUGCCAAGUCAUCAUUUCCAGCUUCCUCUGCUUUCAUUGCCUUCUCUCUGUUUUUAAUUAUUCCCAUCAGUGAAGCUCGUAUUUGCUUGUCAAUUUCCUUCAUUCUCUUAUUUCUUUCUGAAGGUACCAGCCAGCCUAUAAGAAAUAGGAACAAUAGAAAAUACAAGAACGUAUUGAAUGCACUAAUCAAAUCCUACUUAUCGAUUUCAACAAUAUGAUUAACAUCUUAGAUUAACCAUAUGACGACAUGGAUCGAAGUUAUAAGCCCAGGAUGGGUCAAACCUACUUCCAUAUUUUUGGAAGAAAAUCAACUCCUACAUUGCUAAUUACUCCCAGAAGCCGUCCUCAGAAUCACAUCACUAGUUAAUUUUGCAAGAGAAGGCCGUGCACCCAACUCACACGAUCCUCCUUUUGACGUCAGGUUUUCCCACUUUGUAAUUAUUUCACUACAACUUUGCUAGAACGCAGGCAACAUAAGUUGAAACGAAACAGAAAGAAAUUAAAAUGAAGACAUUUAUGUAAACAAAUGAAGAAAUCAAUUAAUAACCUAGAGCUUCUCUUGGUGGAACUGGUUGAUAAGAUUUCUAUAGUAACCCACUUGUCACCUCAUGGCUAACCAAUGCAAGUGCCAAUAAUCUGGCAAGUGGAUCUGAAUUGAUUUUUUGAAAAUCAUUGAUCUUGGUAGAUAUCUCUUUGAUUUGAUCGGGCUUCACAAUAUUCAACCUUCGCGUCGGACCGAACCACAUAAAUGAAUUAUUGCCUGCAUCAAUUUUUAAGCUCUGGUUAUUUUGCUCGUGGCAUAACUUACCACAGCUUGAGUUACACCCAUUGGCCCAUGAUAUCAAGAAAAUUAUUGGUCUCGCAAACAACAUAGCUCAAAUGUUUCAACACCAUACAUAUUUUCUUCAUUAAUUAAAAAAAAUUACGUUUUAACCCAUAAAAAUAUUCAAGAAUUAUCUUGAUGUGUAUGAUCUCUACUAACUACAUUUAUAACGAGAAGUCUAUUUGGAUUUCUUCCACUUAUAUCAGCUCUACAAUUGUGCAAACUGAAUUAGUUUUAUUAAUAAUGGCACAAUCCAGUCGAGAUAUUAUCGUCUAAACUUUCUUUCAAGUCACCAAACAGAAGCCUGCAAGAAUUGCCUUUGAAACCUUUGCUGUCUCAGGAAUUUCUCCAGCUUCUUGGGACCCUCAGCCACACCCAGUUCAGCACUCUCCAUGCCCAGUUCCCACUGUUACGAUAACAAUGGUCAGGUCUAUGGAUUUCAGCGGCAAUUCCAUUUCACACAGAGAGAUUUUUGAAGUGUUCAAAGAAAUGAGACUUGCCUACGUGGUAGAUUAGUUGAAAGUGAAUUAAAAACAUUUUUUCGUUUGCAUAUGUUCAAUGGCUUUUCUUAGUUUCGAAUUUUCCUGUACCAUUAUAUUGUCUCCAGCUAAUGGUACACGUGUCAAUAUCAAUCAUGCAUGUGGUGAUCUUUGUGGACUUGUCACUCAUUGACUGUCUUCUAUAGAACUAGAGAAUGUAAGUUCGGUUAAUUAUUUGAAAAAAAAAAAUUGUUUACCCCUAAUACAUUAAUUAUUCUCAAAAUAUCCUCAAACUAUAAUAAACAUUAAUCAAUCCACAAUUACUAUUAAGAAGGUAAAAAAAGAAAAAAGAAAUCAUCAAUCGUUCCCAUUUGAUCUUAUUUUUUGAAUGAUCAUUAGGGUAAAUUAAGGUUUACAAGAAUUUAGAGAUAACUGAAAUUAACAAAAAAUAAAUAAAAUAAAACUCAUCUAAAUAAAUUAUGCAUGGUGGGCCUAUUUGCCCUUUAAAACAUACUCAAAAUAUACUAUUAUUUAUGUAUACUCAUUUACUUAUUUUAUAAAAAGGGUGGGGCUAUUUGCACUCUUAACAUUACUAGAAUAUUCUUAUUUUAAUAAAUUGUUUUAUUACAAAAAUACUUAUUAUAUGAAUUUCCAAUAUGGAAUCUCUCUUAUAAACUAACAUAAUAAAAUUACUCCAAACACUCACUAUUCAAUAUAUGAUUAUCUUACCAUAAACCCGAAAAAUUUUAAAUCCAAUAUCUUAAACAAUAUUUAGUUAAACAAAGAGCAAAUCAAUACUUUUAAUAUAUUUUGAGCAUAUUUUUACUCUUUGAUUUUCAGAAGACAAAAAAAAAAUUGCUGUCUUCUUCCUCUUCCUCAUCCUUCUUUUAGUCUUCUUUUUCUUCGGCUAUUUCUUCUUCCUCUUUUUUUCCUUUUUUUUCUUUCUUUUUUUUUUUUUUUUGGCUAGAUAGCAAAAAAAUUUUCAAUUGUUUGGUUAAUAAAUUGGGUGCAAAAACUAAUAUUGAAUACAUUCUUUAAUAGACAAAAGCUAAUAAAGAAUAUGUUUAGAAUAUAAUUUGAUUCCUUUGUGUAUAUACUAAGUUGUUAUUAAUUCAUUUUGGAUGCUCAAUAGUUUAAUUGGUGUUUUGAGUAAAUUAGUUUAACUAGUUUAAUUAAGGUCCUUUUUUUUUUAUUUUAAAGAGUGUAGAAAGUAAAAUUUAAUUAUUUUAAAUUCAACACAUUAUUGUACAAAGUAAUAAAGUGUUCAAAGUAAUUUUUGGAGUAUAAAUAACCUAAUCUUUUGAAAAAUGGUGGGACUAUUUGAAUCCACCAUAAUACUCAUUUGACCCAUGUUUUAGAAAACAUUUUUACUACUAAAUUGUCUCUAAUGUAAAUCACUAUUAAAGACAUAAUAGUAUGUAUAUACUUCAUGCUCUCAUCUUUUAAUCAUGUCUAAAUUUGUUCAAUGUGGACAUAAGAGAAAAUUUGUUUCAUACUUUUAAAUUUUUUUAAAAAUUUUCUUCAACUCCUUUGGUCGAAAACAAAUCCAAUCGAGUUGUUGGAUACUUGGAUUUGGUCAAAACUAUCUCACCAGUAAAGCUCAUUGGAAUCCAAUAAACCAAUAAGUUCUAGUCAAGCUAUUCUAGAUUCAAGCAAUAAAAUUUAGGAAAAUUAUCAGUCGUAUACUCUUAAAUGACAUCCGUAUCAAACGUGUGUGAACACUUUUGAAAUGUAUCACUCGUUUACCCUAAGUUGACAAAACACUUCUGCCGUCCGCCAAUCCGUUAACUUCCGUUUGCAAGCGCGAACAUCAUAAGGGCAAUUUAGUCUUUUAAGAUUGACGAAACUUUGAUUUAAAAAAAGGACAUGUCAUCCCAUUUACCUAGUACAAAAUGACAUGUCAUAUGAUAUAUAUUGAUAAAAAUAACAUGUCAUCCCAUUUAUCGGAUAAUUGUAAAUAAUUGCUAAAAAAAACUACUUUACAACCGAAUAUACGCCUUUAAAAUUUAACCUAAUUUUGAAGAUCUACUCCUCCAAGCUCCAACUGGAAAGUUUUAUGGUAUAAUAUGUAUAAUUGUGAAUAAUAUGUUGUUAAUAAUUUUUUAUGGUAUAAUAUGGAUUUUUUUUAUGAAUAAUUGUUAAUAAUAUGUACCAUUAAUAAUUCAUUUUUUUUAAUCAAAAAAAUGUAUUGUUAAUAACAAAAUAAAAAAAAUUGUGUAUUAAAAAUUUACGUUAAUUUUUGGGGUAAAUUUAUCUUUUUACCUUAUAUUUUGAGUUUCAAGGGCAAAAUAGCCAAUUUGUCACAAUUCUGUUAACUUUCUAAUGGAAGUUAACGGAUUGGUGGAUGGCAGAAGUGUUUUGUCAACUUAGGAUAUACGAGUAAUACACUUGAAAAGUGUUCUCAACUUAGGGUAUACGAGUAAUACACUUGAAAAGUGUUCUCAACUUAGGGUAUACGAGUAAUACACUUGAAAAGUGUUCACACACGUUUGAUACGGGUGUCAUUUAAGGGUAUAUGGCUGAUAAUUUCCCUAAAAUUUAUUUCAUUAAAUUUGCACUAUAUAAGAAAGGGAAGAGUUAUGCCAUUGACAAAUAUUGAGCGCUUGAAUUAGUUGUGUAAUCAAUUGAUUAUUCAUUACAACUAUCAUCUUAUUGUCAUUUAAUUUUUUCAUGAUAUUAUAUAUAUUUUAUAGCAGUUUAAUGACAAGCACGGACAAAAAAUAAAUUCCACUUGAGAAGUUGAAGGAUACGACCUUUGGUUAUGAAUGCGUCAAGGGUUGGAGAGCUGGAAGAAGAAGAAGAGAAGAAAAAUGUUGCAGAAAAUCAUGAAUUAAUUUCAAGCAUAUGUUGGUUAUUAACAUGAGUUUAUAAAGUAUAAUAUAAAAUUUUUAACAAUAGAAUUAAUAAGUAGAUGAGUUUACAAAGUAAUUUGGUGGGUUCAAAUAUACUCACUCUUUAAAAUAAUUAGUUUUUACUCUGCACACUCUUUUUUUUUUUUUAUGAGAAAGUAAAGCUUUCAAUUGAUUAAGAAGAAGAGAACAACAUCAACACCUGGACAGGGAAAUCACCUAUCCAGGUGACAGCUUCCUCAAACUCAAGAGCUACAUUAGCUAAGUUAUGGGCAAUUACAUUACACUUUCUUGGGACAAAACGAAUAGCUGCCGAGGCUUGGUUUUUCAACUCUGCUUGUAUUUCUUCAAUGUUCCAACAAAUUUUAGCUCAACUUUCCUUCUUGUUUAAAGUGAGCUCCACAACUUCCUUCAAGUCUGAUUCAACAAUGAAUUGGGCACAAUUUGUUUUCUGACCUACUUGAAUACCGAGCAGCACUGCUUCUGCCUCCAUGUUUGCCACAUUUCCUUUUAAAGCUACUCUCUUAACAGCUGCAGCCACGAUCUCAUAAAAUACUAAAAAAGCUACUCUCUUAAUUCUGCACACUCUUUAAAAUACUAAAAAAGUCCUCAAUAAAACCUUUAAGUAAAUCAAUUAAGAAUUUCAAGUUAAAAUAAAUCUAUACAUGUAAUCACAAUUUAUUAAAAAUGGUAGUAAAACUUUUAUAUUUGAAGUCAAGUACUUAAUUACCAAACUUAAAUAAAUUAAACAAUUAAAAUUUAUUCAUCUUUUUAAAUUUUAAACUAUUAUUAGUCAAAAGUUUCAAAAAUAAAUUAAACUCAACUUAACAUAAAGCUAUUUGGGUGUCAUUGUUUCUUUGUCAUACACUCUACCUUUUUUUUUAAGAACCUACUGUUGAUAGUUUUUCUAUCAAAAACUCCUCAAAAUAUUUAAAUUUUAUCUUCUAACUUGUCCUCUUGGUUAAUGUAACUAAUAACUAAAAUCUCAAAAUUCACAUAAAAGUUUAUGAAAUGUUGAUAGAUAGUUGUUACUAUAUAUCUUUUUUUGUAAGUAUUGGCAUUUUUUCAAUUAAAUUAUUUUUAUAAAUAAAUUAAAACAGUAAUAAUAUUUUAGUCCCCAAAUCUUUUCAAUCUAUUCAAUAAAUAUAUAAUUUAAUUAUUUCAUGAAAUAAGUCACUAAUUCCAACUGGGAAGAAAAUAUAAUUGAAUUAGGAACAUGUUUGAAAAUAAAAUAAAAACUCUAUUAUUUUAUAAAACUGAUUUAAAAAAAACAUAAGGGUAGUUAAAUUAGGGACAUAUAUAAAAAAAAUAAAACUAUAUUAUUAUCUAAAAUUAAUAAAAAAAAUAAGGGGUAUAAAUAACUUUCCUGGACUAAUCCGGGCUACACCCCCGCUUAGGUCCGCUUGCGCACUCAUUACUCCAAAUACAACGUUUAAAAUUUAAAAUCAAAUUUUUACUAUGUAAAAGGGAUAUUAUCAUUUUUCCACCAAAGGUAUUCUGACACAUCAUGUCAGUACCAUGGUUUGAUAAAACUAUCAUUUUACCACCAAACGUUUAAACUGUUAGCAUUUUCCCACCAUUUCGUUAAAACUCAGUUAAUAUUUAACGAAAAAUUAUUAAAAGGUCAAUUUUACCCCUAGAGCGUAAAAGACGAUUUUGCCCUUUAAGAAUGAACAACAAUAAGUGAUGAUUAAAUUACAAAAAUAACCCCAAAAGUAGCUGUUACAUUCAAAUAACGGCUACUUUUAUGCUUAUAAGAGCUGCUGCUGGUUGCCAUUUCAACCCGCAACCAGCAACCCCAAAUCAAAGGCCAGCAAGUAGGGGUGGGCAAAAUCGGGUUCGGAUCAACCCGAUCAGAUUUCGGGUUGAUCGGGUUGGAGAGAAACUCAUCCGAACUCAACCCGAAUUUUAGAUCAGAUCGGAUCGGAUCGGGUUAUAUUCGGGUCGGAUCUAAAAUUCGGAUCAAUUUCGGGUCAAUUCGGGUUAAGGACAAAAAAAGUCAUUUGUGUUAAUUUUGGGUUGUUUAAUAAUUAUUUAAUAAUUACAAGAUCACUUUUAUGCAAUUAGUUCAUUUUAGUCCAUUUCCACUUUCCAAUGACUGUCAUAAAAAAAAUAUAAACUGAAAUAGAAUUGAAAAAGUUGUGAGCUUGGAGGACUUGGUGUCAUGAAUCUCAGUCUCGGUCUCGUUGGAAGAACAACCAUGGAUCACUUCGCGCGGGUCAAGCAGCAGCCGAUGGAUCAAGCGGCAACGGGUUUCGUCGAUGGCUCAUGGCUUCACAGGUUUUGUCGGUGGCUACCGGAAAAGCAGAUCCAAUCGAAGUGAAGUGCAGCAACCGUCGAUGCAGCAGCAAGCAGAUCCUGUCGUCAGUGCAGCAGAUCUGGUCGAGUGGUGUGCUGCAUAUGGCCGUUGCUGUGCUAACCGUCUGUAGUUUUGUUGUUGCGAGAAAGAAGAGAAAGAAGACAGUGAAGAGAAAAAAGAGAGUUGUUUGUGUGAGUUGUGAGAAAGAAGAGAAAGAAGAUAGUGAAGAGAAAGAACACGGAGAGUGAGAAAGAAGAGAAAGAAGAGAGUGAAGAGAAAGAACACAGAGAGUGUUGGUGUGAGUCUGUGAGCCAUAGUGUUCGUAUAUGUUCUGUUUAGCCAUUUAGGUUGUUUGUGUGUGGCGUGUGUGUUUAGAUUUAGGUUUUUUUUUUUAAAGCAACCCGAUCGGGUUUUCGGAUCGGAUCGGAUUUGACCUGAUCCGAUCACAACCCGAUCGGAUUUCCUUUAUAACCCGAUCCGAUCCGAUCCGAACCCGAAAUUUUUCGGGUCGGGUCGGGUAUUUUGCCCACCCCUACCAGCAACCCCAUUUGAGCACCAACAACCCAGCUGAAAAAGAAAGAAAAUGGCAACCCAGCACAACUACAAGCCACAGUAAACAUUUCAAUACCACUGCACCAGCAAGCCCAAGCCAUUUUUAAACACCAGUAAGCUCAUUUUAUUACUAGCAAUCAUGCCAGGUUUGUACAUGCAGGUUUAAAAAGUGUAAUUUUUGGCAAUGGGCAGCAAAAAAAGAUAUGGAAAUGCGUAACAUUACAUCCAAUCAUGGCAUGAACCUAAAUGAAGAUGUGAUGAAGAUAAGUGAACUACUACGAUGCAUUGAAGCGAAACUGAAAUUGGUCGUAGUUUUUAUUUGUGGCAUUGUGAUAGGCUUAUUUAUGAGGAAGUAAUGUAAUAAACAUGAAAAAAUAUUGUAGCAAUCAAUCAUUGUAGCUGAAGAUGUAAUGAAGCAUUAUAGUUUAAGAUGUAAUGCAACUGGAAAGUAAUCAAAACAGUUUGUGGAUUCCAAAAACAUAACAGCAACUUAAUGCACUAAUAUAAAGUUUGUGCAUCCAAAAUACAUAACAACAACUUAAUGCAUUAAUAUAAAGUUUGUGCAUCUAAAAUACAUAACAGUAACUUAAUGCACUAAUAUAAAGUUUUGUGCAUCUAAAAUACAUAACAGCACCUUAAUGGUUAUUUCAUACAGCAUCUAAUAUCUGUGAAGCUUGUGAGCCUUGAGUUGGAUUCGGGGAAACAUUAUCAGCUUCAUAUUGGCCAGGACAAAAAAAUUAUUACCUCAUUAUCUAAGACCAACAGUAGCUAUUUGCAGACAUCAAACAUUAAUUUGAAACAAUAACUUACCAUUGUUACGUCUUCUUACUCCAUCGCCUCUUGCUCUUGCUCUGUUACUCCUUUGGCCCCUUCGGCCUCUAUUCCUUCCUCUUCCUCUAUUACCAGUACCUCAUCUUCCUCUAUGAGCAAUAAAGCUCUCUUGUGAACCACCUACAGCCUAUUUAAAUUGAAAUAUAUAAAUAAUCAAAUCAUCAAUAUUUAUAACAAACUAAAAAUUACUCAAUGAAUAACAAUAAACAAAUUACCACUUUCUUUGUCCUCUUUGAAGUACUUGCUGCAUUAGAACUUUCUCCCGGCCCACUAACUCCCUAUUUAAAAUUACAUAGAUAACAAACAAUAAAAAAUUAAUUUCAAUACACAUAAAAACAAUUAAAACAUUAGGUUAAGUGGCUGUUACCUGCUGAGCUCUUAAUUAUCUUGCUAUCGAUGGCCUUAAUGCACAUUUCCUGACAUUGUGGUUCAUCCCACCACAAAAUGAGCAGCAGAUAUAAAAUGAUUUUUUUUUUUUUAUUGGCUCAGUGGCUGCCCUUUUCCUUGACAUUUUUGGUCUACCAAUCUUCUUGGUAAUCUCAGGUGGAAAGAGCUUGGGCCUAUCACAAGGGUCCCAUGUAACUUUGUUAGGAAUUGGCUUGAACAUCACUGCAUAUGUGUUCAAGUACGCCUCUUUGCCGAAGUAUUUUGGUAGAUACUCUGUUGCUGUGUGUCUAGCAUGACUAAUUGCAGCCAUAACAUGAGUACAGGGGAUUCCAGCUAGGUCCCAAUAACCACAAUCACAAGACCUGCUCAUGAGAUCGACAAUGAACCUCCUUGUUGGAUAAUAACCCUUGUGUUUAACCUAACAAAAAUUACAUAAUGAUUAAAUAAUAAUUAUAAGGUUGAGGAAAAAAAAUUGAUUAACCUAACAAACAUUCAGGUUCAGGAAAAAAUUAAUUAUAAGGAACAUGAGUUAGAAUUAUACUUGAAAGUGAAGAUCCCCAGAAGCCAUUACAUUCAUCUUGCUUCCACAUUCAUAUGCAACAUCCAAUUCUUUUUUCACUCUAGGUGGAAUGUUGGUCUAAGAUUGUGCUUCUUUUUUCCUUUUUGUGAAGAGUGUCAUGAACAUGCAUCUAAUUUCUUCAAGCAUGUUCAAGCAAGGCUUCUCUCUGUGGGGUAAUAUCCAACUAUUAAAACACUCUGAAGUGUUGUUAGUUGUACGAUCUACCUUGCAAUUCUUGUCAUACUCAUGUCUUGACCAAGUAAACCCAGCAAGCUCAGUCUCCAGCCACUGCCAUGCCUCUAACUUCUCUUUUUUGAGGUUUUCCAUUGCAAUAGCGUAAUCAUACUUGUUAGUGCUACUGACAGCCCUCCAAAACAGAUUUCUCAAACUAACACCAGGAUGUUCUUUGUAGAAGUUAGUAUAUAUAUGCCUAGCACAUGGUCUAUGAUAUGCAGUAGGCCAAGUUAUCUCAAUGGCCCCCAACAAACCCUUUUGCCUAUCUUAGCAAAAUGUAAUAUGCUCUAAGCCAUUAUCAAAAUACGAAUGCAGAAUUUCUAAAAACCACGACCAGGUUUCAGUAUUCUCUAUCUCACACACUGCUAAUGCUAAUGGGACCAUUCCAUUAUUAGCAUCCAUACCUGUUGAGUGUUAGAAAAUGCAUAUUUAUAAAGGAGAAAACCGUCAUUUUACAUUUCAAGUCUUAUUAACAACCCUUACUUUUAUGUAUUUAACCUUCUUGUGAUUUAAUUACAUGUCUUUUAUUUUAAUUAAGUAUUUUAUGUAUUUUAGGGGCAUUAUAGUCAUUUCACAAUAAAGGAGAGAUCAGAUGGCAAAACGGACAUCACUUUUGAACUCAGGACGGUCGAAAACCUUAGGAGGAGCAUAAAAGGAAAAAUGACACUAUUCACAUGUACGGUACUAUUCACGUAUACGGUACUGUCUACGUUACUGUUCACGAAACUGUUCACAUAGACGGAUCGAUGACGUGGCAUUGACCGAUGAUGUGGCAUUGACUGAUGAGGUGUCACGAUCCUGUUGGACUAAACUUCUUAUGUACUGUUGAUGGUGACGUGGCAGCAUAUCAGUGGAUGAAAAAUCUCGCGUACGGUGCAUGCAUCACACAGGAUUAUUUUCAACCAAACCGCGUUACUGUUCAUCCGGGUCAAACCGUGUUACUGUUCAUCCGCGUGGUCAAACCGUGGACUGUUGACUGAUGACGUGGCGCAAUCCUGAGCGUCCAAACUAUUUUUAAUCCGAUGGCCAUGAUUUACUCCAUGUAUCUAUAAAAAGGGGGCCUCCCCCCCCUAAUUUGAUAUCUCUGAAUCCAUUUUUGGGAUCCAUUUUCUGUAAUUCCCUCUCCAUCUUGUAUUUUCUUUGUAUUUUAAUAAAUUCCCAUUUUGCCCCUAGUUCAAUUAUGAGUGGCUAAUUUUCUUUCAAGCUUGGGUUGAAGGUGAAGUCUCAACAUGUGUCAUGGGCUUUAUUUGGUAAAUUUAUUUUCUUUUCCCCUCUAGUUUUUGUGGAUGAUUUGACUUAUCGUCGACAAAUAAUACUGAUCUUGUCUAGAUACCGCCUUGGUUACACCGGCUCUCUAGUAUAAGGUUAUUAUUAUUUGGCACGAUAAGCCCUUAGCACCAUAUUGAUUAGAGCGUGGUUCAUGAGGUGUGGAUCCCCCCCUCAUGAUUUAAUUGGCAUUAAUACGGAUUAUUUAGCCCAUGAUGCAUGUUGAUACGGAUCCAGAUACCCAAGUACGUCAUUUCAAUAGAUUUCGCUUCAACUUAUUCUCGCCAUUGCAAUUCCAAUUUUAGAAUUUAUUAUCGCAAUUUCAAUUCCAAUUUUAGGAUAAUUUAAAUCACUUCCACCACAAUUCCAACCACCCAUUUUGCAAAAUUAAUUCUAUACACAAUUAAAAUCCUCCUCCUCGUGGGAUCGACACUCGUCACCAUUGAUCUACACUACAAUAGAUUCAUGCGCUUGCGAGUACAUUAAAAUUUGCACAACAAGUUUUUGGCGCCGUUGCCCGGGGAGGUAAGUAAUUUUAAUUCAUAGAAUUAAUUUUUGUGAAUAAUUUCUUUUAAAUUGUUUUCUUGUAUUUUUUUUAUUAAAAAAAAAAAGGUGAAUCUGCAUUUAAAGGUUAGUAUUUCUUUUCUUUUUCUCUUCUUUAAAAUUCUGUAAUUUAAUUUUCAAUUUAUUUUUUUCUUUGUAAUUUUUAUUUAUUUUAUUAAUUUAAUUUUUAGUUAAUUUAUUUCACGUAUUUGUUUUUGUGUAUUUUUAUAAAAAGGUUGUAAUAGCGCAAUAAGGUUAGUAUCGUAAUUUCUCCCUCUUCUUUAUUUUUAUUUGUUUUGUUCCCAUCUUUAUUUUUAUUUUAUUUGUUUUGCAUGCAUGGUCGUAGGUCAUUAUUACCUAAUCUUGAACCUAUAGACCUUGAAUUAGAAAAAACACUUCGCACACAAAAGCACAUUAAAAAUAAAUUUGGAAUGGAUUUACAAGCACCACAGGAGAGGCCAUUUAAGGACUAUUUUAGUCCCUUAGCUAAUUUGAGCACAUCAUGCAUAAGAUACCCAAAUGUAGCUGCUAGGAGUUUUGAAUUAAAACCUAGUGUGCUAAAUUGUCUCCCCACAUUCUAUGGCUUAGAAAAUGAGGACCCAUAUAAUCAUCUGAAUGAUUUUCAUACCAUUUGUCAAACUUUUAAAUAUGAAAAUUUUUCAGACGAUGAUGUUAAACUCAGAUUAUUCCCAUUUUCUUUAAAGGAUAGAGCUCGUUCAUGGCUUAAUACAUUGCCUGCUAAUAGCAUUGCAUCAUGGGAACAAAUGGUUACAAAAUUUCUAAAUAAAUAUUUCUCAGUGCAUAAAACUAAUUCUAUUCGCAGGGAAAUUUCAGAGUUUACACAAAGAGAGGACGAGCAGUUUUUCGAAACUUGGGAGCGAUUCAAUGGGCUACUCUUGAAGUGUCCACAUCAUGGGUACGAAAAAUGGCAUCAAUGCCAAUACUUUUUGGAGGGAUUAUUGCCGAAUGUGCAAGAAUGGCUAAUGGCAACAAGUAGAGGAGAGCUAAUGUCAAAAAGCGCAACAGAGAUUUGGGAAUUCUUCCAGCGACAAGCGGAUAAUUCCCAACAACGGAGUCGAUCAUUCAGGAAUACUAGAAAAAUUAAAGGAGUAAAUGAGGUUCACAUUGGCGAGUCAACUUCGGAAAUCAAAGAAGUCAAGGAGAUGGUUGAAGGUCUUGCUCGACAAAUAGCAUCGUUAUCGACUGCUAAAUCAACAGAAUCACAUGACCAUGACUCAUAUUCAGAUCAAGCCAAUGCCAUAGGUGUAAUGAGAAAACCAUCGAAUUACAACCCAUACUCCAACACAUAUAAUCCUGGAUGGAGAGAUCACCCCAAUUUUUCAUGGUCUCAAGGAUUCCAACAGAAUGGACCAACAGCUCCAGCUCCACUACUGCAACCAAUUCCUCAAAAUCCUCAAGCCUCUCAGCCACCAUUCAGACCAUACAAUCAGAACCAGAACUACUCUCAACCCAGACCAUGGGAGGAUGCAUUCCAGAAUUUCAAGAAUGUUACUCAUUCUACCAUUGAGCAACAGAACCGCACCAUUGAUGGACUACGAAAUGAAUUGAGAGCGGGCUUUAACUCACAAGCCCAAUCAGUUUCAAGCCUCGAGAAGAUGGUGGGACAACUCGCUUCUUCAGUUCAGACAUUGGCAAUGACUAUUGAGAAAGGCAAGUUUCCAAGUCAACCAGUGCCUAAUCCUAAAGGAGUACAUGAAGCAAGUACCAGUUCACCACAGCAGCAUGGGGAGGUCAAAGCAGUCAUGACCUUGCGAAAAGGAAAAGAAGUCGACAACAAAGUGGAGAUGCCGGUGACCAAAGAAAAUCAAAUUGUACCUGUGAAUGUUGAAGACUCACCACCGGAGGAAAAAGAAGAAACCAACCCACGAGAAUAUGUUCCUAAAGCUCCAUUUCCUCAGAGGUUAGCGAAAGGAAAGAAGGGAAAAUCCACAGGUGAGAUUCUCGAAAUCUUCAAACAGGUAAGUGUUAACAUCCCUUUACUUGAUGCUAUUAAACAAGUUCCAUCUUAUGCCAAGUUUCUUAAAGACCUUUGUACUAAAAAGAGAAACAUGCAUGUUCAAAAGAAGGCAUUUUUAACAGAAAACGUUAGUUCUAUACUCCAACAUAAAAUUCCUUUAAAAUGCAAAGACCCAGGCUCCCCCACUAUCUCAUGUAGUAUAGGGAACCACACAAUUGAGAAUGCUUUGUUGGAUUUAGGAGCUAGUGUAAAUUUGUUGCCUUAUUCAGUAUUUGUGAAACUUGGACUGGGAGAAUUACACCCAACUCCAGUGGUGUUACAGCUUGCAGAUCGGUCCACGAAAAUACCUCGUGGUAUUGUGGAGGACGUGCUUAUCCAGGUAGACAAGUUUUAUUUUCCUGUUGAUUUCAUUGUAAUUGACACUCAACCAAUACAGGACUCAAGGAAGCACAUCCCCAUUAUUCUAGGCCUACCUUUCUUGGCAACUGCGGAUGCUCACAUUCAAUGCAGGACUGGAAAUAUGCAGUUGUCCUUUGGCAACAUGACUAUGGAGCUAAACAUUUUCAACAUUGCCAAACAACCUCAUAGUCCAGAUGAUGGAAUUGUUGAUGUGGAUUUAAUAGAAACAAUAGUCGAUAAUACUUUUAUUUCAAACCUUAGUGAUGACCCUUUACAGACAUGCUUAACUCACUUUGGUUUGAAUUUUGAUAUUGACAGAUCGGUCGAUGAGGUCAACACUCUACUUGACUCAGCACCAUCCAUGGACACUAAUAAAUGGAAGUCAAGAGUUGAACAACUAGCACCAUCAGAGAAGAAAAUCAUCCCAUCAUCAGAAUCACCACCGAAACUCGAGCUCAAACCAUUACCCAACACAUUGGAAUAUGCGUUUUUGGGAGAAGAAAGCACUCUACCGGUAAUCAUCUCAUCAUCCCUAAACGACGAACAAAAAGGUAAGUUAUUGGAUGUUUUAAAAGAGCACAAAGGAGCAUUAGGAUGGACCAUAGCAGAUAUUAAAGGUAUAAACCCAGUAGACUGCAUGCAUUACAUUCACCUUGAUGAAAAUGCUAAAACUACUAGGGAAAUGCAACGUCGGUUAAAUCCUAAUAUGAAAGAAGUUGUUAGAACAGAAGUCCUUAAGCUAUUAGAUGCAGGUAUCAUUUACCCAAUUUCUGAUAGUUCAUGGGUCAGUCCUGUACAAGUUGUCCCCAAAAAGUCAGGAGUCACAGUAGUUACCAAUGCUGAUAAUGAAUUGAUACCAACUAGAGUAACUACAGGAUGGCGUGUAUGCAUUGAUUAUAGAAAAUUGAAUUAUGUCACACGUAAAGACCAUUUUCCUUUACCAUUUAUUGAUCAAAUGCUUGAUAGAUUAGCAGGCCAUGAAUUUUAUUGCUUUCUGGAUGGUUAUUCAGGAUAUAAUCAGAUUCCCAUAGCACCAAAAGAUCAGGAGAAAACUACUUUCACUUGCCCUUUUGGCACUUUUGCAUAUAGGAGAAUGCCAUUUGGAUUAUGUAAUGCACCUGCUACAUUCCAACGAUGCAUGUUGAGCAUUUUUUCUGAUAUGGUUGAACGAUUCCUUGAAGUCUUUAUGGAUGAUUUUUCUGUCUUUGGUGACUCGUUUGAUCAAUGUUUACAUCAUCUAACGCUAGUUCUGCAGAGAUGUAUCGAGAAGAACUUAGUCUUAAAAUGGGAGAAGUGUCAUUUUAUGGUAAAACAAGGUAUUGUUCUCAGUCACAUCAUUUCAAGCAAAGGUAUUGAGGUUGACAAAGCCAAGGUGGAUCUCAUUUCUAAUCUUCCUCCACCUAAAACAGUCAGAGAAGUAAGAUCUUUCCUUGGGCAUGCUGGUUUCUAUAGACGUUUCAUUAAAGAUUUUAGCAAAGUUUCUAGACCCUUAUGCAAUUUACUUGCUAAGGAUGUACCUUUUAUCUUUAAUGAUUCAUGUCUUAUGGCUUUUGAAAAAUUAAAGCGAUUGUUGACAUCAUCACCCAUCAUUCAGGCCCCAAACUGGAGUUUACCAUUUAAGCUCAUGUGUGAUGCAUCUGAUUAUGCAGUAGGAGCAGUAUUAGGACAAAGAGUUGAUCGAAUUCCCCAUGUUAUUUACUAUGCUAGUAUGACAUUGAAUAAUGCACAGUUGAACUAUUCAACUACUGAAAAAGAAAUGCUAGCAGUAGUGUUUGCAUUAGAGAAAUUUCGAUCUUAUCUCAUUGGUUGUAAAAUAAUUAUAUUCACAGAUCAUGCUGCUCUUAAAUAUCUUCUCAUAAAGAAAGAUGCAAAAGCUAGACUAAUUCGUUGGGUGUUACUUUUGCAGGAAUUCGACUUGGAAUUCAAGGAUAAGAAAGGCACAGAGAAUGUUGUAGCGGACCACCUCUCUCGUCUCCAUUUUGACACAAUUACAGAAUCAUUACCAUUGAAUUAGUCAUUUCCAGAUGAACAAUUAAUGAAUGUGGAAGUAUUACCUUGGUAUGCUGAUAUAGUUAAUUAUCUUGUUACAGGUAAACUUCCAGAGCAUUGGACCAAGCAAGACAAGGCUAAAUUCUUUGCGGAAAUAAAGAAUUUCUUUUGGGAUGACCCGUAUUUGUUCAAGUAUUGUGCAGACCAAAUUGUUAGACGAUGUGUCCCUGAAAAUGAAAUUCAGAAUAUUCUUUCAUUCUGCCAUGCACAAGCUUGUGGAGGCCAUUUCAGUGCUAAGAAAACAGCGACUAAAGUUUUACAAUGUGGUUUCUAUUGGCCAACUAUAUUUCGAGAUGCUUACACUUUCUGUUCUUCAUGUGAUAGGUGUCAACGAAUGGGGAGCAUUACACGAAGGAACAUGAUGCCACUAAAUCCAAUUUUAGUGGUUGAGAUUUUUGACGUAUGGGGUAUCGACUUCAUGGGACCCUUUCCUCCGUCUUUUGGUCAUCAAUACAUAUUGGUUGCUGUUGACUACGUAUCGAAAUGGGUGGAAGCAAUUCCAUGCAGAACCAAUGAUCACAAAGUGGUGAUAGGAUUUUUGAAAAGCAACAUUGUUUCACGCUUUGGAUUCCCUCGAGCGAUAAUCAGUGAUGGUGGUGCCCACUUUUGUAACAAAGCAUUCAAAGCUCUUUUGACAAAGUAUUCAAUCACCCACAAAGUGGCGACUCCGUAUCAUCCGCAAACCAGUGGCCAAGUUGAGAUCUCCAAUCGAGAAAUAAAGCACAUAUUAGAAAAGACGGUGAGGCCAGACAGGAAAGAUUGGUCAUUACGACUUGAUGAUGCAUUAUGGGCAUAUAGAACGGCUUUCAAGACCCCGAUUGGGAUGUCACCCUACAGGCUAGUGUAUGGAAAAGCUUGCCACCUACCUGUGGAACUCGAGCAUCGUGCAUAUUGGGCCAUCAAGAAAUUCAACUUUGACAUGCAGCAAGUCAGCUCAGAAAGAAGAUUACAGCUGGCAGAACUUGAAGAAAUUCGCAAUGAUGCAUACGAAAAUGCCAAGAUUUACAAGCAACGAAUGAAAGUCUUCCAUGAUAAGCAAAUUAUGAGAAAAUCGUUCACUCCAGGUCAGAAAGUGUUUUUAUUCAAUUCUCGCUUGCACCUAUUCCCAGGUAAGUUACGCUCUCGAUGGUCUGGUCCCUUUAUUGUUCAUACUGUUUUUCCACAUGGGGCAAUUGAAAUUAAAGACCCAAAGAACGGUGUCACGUUUAAAGUUAAUGGUCAAAGAUUAAAGCCAUAUCUAGAGUACCAACCACAUGAAGAAGACACCGAAAUAAAUUUGAGUGACCCACCAGAUUUGAAUUAAUUUUUUUUCUCUUUUUAUUGAUUUGAUUUUUCUUUCUUUCUUUUUAUUAUUCUUUUGCUAAUUGAAAUUGUUUUUGCAUAAGUGUGUUUAUUUUACCAUUAAGUUUUCUCUUAUCAUUUUUAAUCAUGAGUCUCCUACUUAGACCGUUCCUCCUGAACAUUCUUAAACCACUUCAACGUGUCAAAACUCAUCUCAAAAGGCAGAUUCUAUUUUGUAAAACACAACGCAUUUGGGCUCUACAACCACCAGAGUUAGUAGCCUAUGUUGAGGGUUUAGAACGCCAACUCAGAGAUAUUGAGAGAAGUGUUUACGACAUCCAGUUGGAGCUUGAGGUAAAUUCAAUAAGAGGACGAUUUUAAUUUUCUUUGUGUGUUUUGAUUUGUUUUUCUGUUUGUGUGCUUUAGUUUGUUACCCCGGUGAAGUGGCGGAUAACGGUACUCCGUGACAAUCAAGUCGGUUAACUUCAGUUUCCCAUAAUAACUGAUAUUCUGAGGCGAAGGUAUGGAUACAAACGAGAUUUUAGCAAAGCUUCACAAGCGAUUCCCUUCACUUCCUCAGAAUGCCCUCCUUACGAUCUAUAAAGCCCGGUCUGAACGCAUGCGAUUGCUCAUGAGGAAUAACAUACCUGCAGACAUCCGUUGGUUAAUCGAGGCUAAAGUACGAUCGGCAGGUGAGUUACCUCCAAAAUUUAUUGCAUUCAUGCCUGGUUGUGGUAAAGGAAAUUAUGCAAGAAAACGACGAGCUCGAAGAAUUUCUGUUGCUUGUCAUAAGUGUGCCAGAAUGAGUUGCGAUAAAAACCCAUGUUCUUUAGGAAUGGUGUCUGAUAACAGGGAAGAUAAGAUUCAAUUCAUUAGGGAUGGCUUGAAUAAGGAGUCAUUGGAUGAUAUCCUUUUGUCUCUUGAAACGCAUCCUAGUGGAUAUGUGCAAGGAGCGAUUCUCCAGUUAUGGCCAUUAUUCCAGAAAGAGCAUGCACGAUAUAGUCUCGGGAAUCUGACUAUAAACGACCCUGUUUGCCAGUUUAUAAGAAAACUGGAUAGGAAGCCUAUCCUCGACCCAUAGAGGGCGUUCAAGCCGUUUCUGGACGUAAAACCAGAGGAAGAUGUGAGCCACAGUCGCAACUACCUGUAAAUAUCCUUUUACUUUACUGUUGUUUUAUUUUACUGUUGUUUUAUCGUUUGUAUUAUUAUCUUUAAUAAUUUUAUUACUGUUUGCUUUUUCCUUUUUACUGUUUCCUUUUUGACUCGCGAGCCACGUGCUUUACGCGUUAUUUGACACUGACAUGUUACCUCAUUCACAGCUGUGAUCCACUGUCACCAAGAUUCUUAAAUGUGAUUUAUCUUUUGUCAAGCACUCACAAAUUAUUUUUGAGAAGUAUCACAAUGGCAGCUACUCCCAAUAGACAAUUCAAGAACAUUUGUGUGCUUUCUGGAUUUACCUAUGGCAAACAUAAAGAGUUCGUGGAGGCAGCCAUAGAUCUUGGUCGAAGCAUAGCAGCGAGAAAAUUACAUUUGGUGUAUGGAGGAGGUAACCGAGGGUUAUCAAAAAUGGUCUCAGAAGCAGCUUUUAUCAGAGGAAGUCAAGUGUUAGGCAUCAUCCCAAGAGUCCUAAAACCAUUGGGCAGUUCAUCUAACUCAUCAACUGGAGAAGAGUUAGUCGUCUCAGGUAUGCAAGAAAGAAUAACUGAAAUGCUUAAUCAUGUUGAUGCUUUUAUUUUCCUUCUAGGAGAUCUUGCAACACUAGAGGCACUUAUGACACUAGCAUCUUGGGCCCAUCUGCACAUCCACCAGAAACCCAUCGGUUUGUUAAAUGUCAAUAACUUUUAUGAUGGCUUUAUCGCAUUUCUUAACCAUGCAAUAAAAAACUAUUUCAUUCCUUCUAAUGUGAAAAAACUCUUUAUUUGUGCUCACACUGCUAAUGAGCUACUUGAUAUGUUACAAGCUUAUAAACCGGAGCCAGACCCCUGGACCUUUGUGUUGGAGCGACCAAAUAAUGAUGGUAACAGUAGCCGCAGUAAGAAGUACAAAUUAGAUUUAACUCUCCGCCUGUAAAUAUUUUCUUCUGUGUUGCACCACCCAGGUGAUGUCUUCUAAACUCUACUUCUUUCCUUUAAAACAUUGAGGACAAUGUUUCGUUCUGGUUGGGGGGAGGGAAUAGUCGACAAUUGUGGAAUCUUGGUUAAGUUUUUACUAAUUUUUUGUUGUAGAAACUAACUGUUGCUAACGUUUUGUGUUGAAGAUGGCUGAAUAUGGAGUGUAGUUACUCUAGAAACGCAUCUUCAUCGUUUUAAAAAAAAAAAAAAAAACUCGUUUGCUUCCUCUUUCUCCUUUAUAAAUAUGUAGUUUCAAAUUUUUGAGUCGAAGAUGGCUGAAUAUGGAGUGUAGUGCCUCUAGAAACGCAUCUUCUUAGUUAAAAAAAAAAAAAUCUUUUUCUAAUUAAUUUUUCUACAUCAUUUUCACAUUUCUGCAUGCAUAUUUUCCUUUCAUGUUUAGAAUAGGUUGGGGGGUAGAAUGUUGUUUAAAAAAAAAAAAAAUUUGUGUUAUUUGUUUUAACAUUGGAUGACAUGAUUAAUUUCAAAUUUUAGUAUUUGUAUUAUCUUUGGUCUUAAGUGAUGUUACGCUAUGUUUGCUACUUUACAUGUUGAUGUCGGAGACAAAUAUGAGUUGCUUGAAGGAAUGAACAUGUCAUAAAUAAGUGCCAAGUGAGUUGUUGAGCCUAUCAUUUUCUUGGAGAGUAACCCUUUUGCCCAUUCUCUAUACAGCUUAGCAGUUUAUUAUUUUAUACACGAUCUCUAGAUUUCUUUUGAGUUAACCCUUUAAAAAAAAUGGUAAAAAUAAAAAAAAUAAAAAAUGUGUGUUGCUAUAUUGGGAUGCCCAUUUAACUAGUAGAUAUGGAUAAUUAUUUAGAGCCCUAAAAAACGAUGGAAAGGCCAUCUUUGAUCCGUUUGAGCCUUUCUAGCCAUCCCUGUUAUUAAAUAUCCAUAGUUACCCCUUUUGAGCCUUUAAAAAAAAAAAAAAAUCUUUUCUUUGUCAACUUAUCAUCUUGACCCACUCCGAUUUGGAGUAUUACUCAAUGUCUUUUAAGUUCCAUCACCUAUUUAUGUUUGAGAAAAUGUAAAUAAUUAUGUUGUUCAGUGAAGUUAUGCCAAAAAAAUAAAAAAUAAAAACAAAAAAUAAAAACAAAAACAAAAGUUGUUGUUUCAAAAGAAUAAAAAUAACAAUAAUAGGUGAAAUCCACCUUGCAAGUUCCAAAAAAAAAAAAAAAAAUCUGCAUUUUUCUCAAACAUACACUUUGUUUUCCUUAUUUCCCUUCUUUGUUAGCCAUAUCCCUAGCCUACGUUACGUCCUAAUAAAAGUCCUUCUUGAUUUUAGGAAACUAUAGUUUGAAGUAGAAGCUAGUUAUAUGGGCUAAAAAGAUGUAGUGAUGCAUAAUAAAAAAAAAAGAUAAAUAAAGUGGGUUGACUAACAUUUUAUUUGACUUGAGAUCGUAUUAUUUCUAAGCUGAGGGCAUAUUUAUUUCAUCUUGGUGAGAGCAUGUGAUAUCAUUUCUUUAUUAUUUUCUCUCUCAAUUACCAUUCAUUGGAGUGACUAUGUUUAUUGGGUUUUAAUUUCUUUGUGAGAGUGUCACUACUUCCAGUGAGAUUUUGGGGUUUGACAUGUCAUUCUUGAAAGUAGCUAUAACAAAGUCUACUGGGCUAAUUCAUGUGGAUGGUUGAUGUGGGUGUGAUGUUGCUUUAGACUGAAGAUAAUGCUUAUACUUUUAUUUGAUUGCUAUCAUUAAUCUGAUUGAAUAAACACGAGUGUUCCCAUAAAAAAAAAAAAAAAAUCAUUUUGAAUUUGAAUUUUGUUUUCGCUUUAUUUGCUAGGGACUAGCAAUAAGCUGGUUGGGGGGUGUGUUGAGUGUUAGAAAAUGCAUAUUUAUAAAGGAGAAAACCGUCAUUUUACAUUUCAAGUCUUAUUAACAACCCUUACUUUUAUGUAUUUAACCUUCUUGUGAUUUAAUUACAUGUCUUUUAUUUUAAUUAAGUAUUUUAUGUAUUUUAGGGGCAUUAUAGUCAUUUCACAAUAAAGGAGAGAUCAGAUGGCAAAACGGACAUCACUUUUGAACUCAGGACGGUCGAAAACCUUAGGAGGAGCAUAAAAGGAAAAAUGGCACUAUUCACAUGUACGGUACUAUUCACGUAUACGGUACUGUCUACGUUACUGUUCACGAAACUGUUCACAUAGACGGAUCGAUGACGUGGCAUUGACCGAUGAUGUGGCAUUAACUGAUGAGGUGUCACGAUCCUGUUGGACUAAACUUCUUAUGUACUGUUGAUGGUGACGUGGCAGCAUAUCAGUGGAUGAAAAAUCUCGCGUACGGUGCAUGCAUCACACAGGAUUAUUUUCAACCAAACCGCGUUACUGUUCAUCCGGGUCAAACCGUGUUACUGUUCAUCCGCGUGGUCAAACCGUGGACUGUUGACUGAUGACGUGGCGCAAUCCUGAGCGUCCAAACUAUUUUUAAUCCGAUGGCCAUGAUUUACUCCAUGUAUCUAUAAAAAGGGGGCCUCCCCCCCCCUAAUUUGAUAUCUCUGAAUCCAUUUUUGGGAUCCAUUUUCUGUAAUUCCCUCUCCAUCUUGUAUUUUCUUUGUAUUUUAAUAAAUUCCCAUUUUGCCCCUAGUUCAAUUAUGAGUGGCUAAUUUUCUUUCAAGCUUGGGUUGAAGGUGAAGUCUCAACAUGUGUCAUGGGCUUUAUUUGGUAAAUUUAUUUUCUUUUCCCCUCUAGUUUUUGUGGAUGAUUUGACUUAUCGUCGACAAAUAAUACUGAUCUUGUCUAGAUACCGCCUUGGUUACACCGGCUCUCUAGUAUAAGGUUAUUAUUAUUUGGCACGAUAAGCCCUUAGCACCAUAUUGAUUAGAGCGUGGUUCAUGAGGUGUGGAUCCCCCCCUCAUGAUUUAAUUGGCAUUAAUACGGAUUAUUUAGCCCAUGAUGCAUGUUGAUACGGAUCCAGAUACCCAAGUACGUCAUUUCAAUAGAUUUCGCUUCAACUUAUUCUCGCCAUUGCAAUUCCAAUUUUAGAAUUUAUUAUCGCAAUUUCAAUUCCAAUUUUAGGAUAAUUUAAAUCACUUCCACCACAAUUCCAACCACCCAUUUUGCAAAAUUAAUUCUAUACACAAUUAAAAUCCUCCUCCUCGUGGGAUCGACACUCGUCACCAUUGAUCUACACUACAAUAGAUUCGUGCGCUUGCGAGUACAUUAAAAUUUGCACAACAAUACCCACAGCGGCUAAUAGAACUCCACCAUAUUUUGAUUUCAAGUGACACCCAUCCAACCCGAUAUAUGGCCUACAGCCAUUGUUAAGGGCAUUUUUUUAAGCUGGAAAUGCCAUAAAGAAUCUUUGAAAGAGCACUUUCUCAGGCCUAGUUACAGCAUCACAAAGCACUUUACAAAUUGCACCAGGAUCAUACUUGUGAAUCACUGCAGCAUAUUGAAACAAAUCUUCGUAUCCCCUCGCAUGAUCUCCAUUAAUGUCUUUUCUUGCCCUCUCUCUAGCCCUAUAUAGUUUUAAAUCCCCUAUCCGCACACCAUAAGUCUCCAGCAUAAACUCACGAAGAACAGAAAUCUUCACAUGCGCAUCUACAGCAACUUUGCUCUUAAUUUUCUCUGCUAUCCAUUUAUUGUUCACAGCCACUGACUUUCCAGUCUGUCUACAUUCAUGCUUCUUUUGCAACUCUUCGAUUGCAAAUCCACCCUUGCCCCUUAUUUUACCUCCCAUCACAUACCAUGGACACUCAUUAAUCUUGCAUUUUCUGUAAAAUCUCCUAGGCUCAUUGUACACCUUUGUAAUUUCAAUGCCUUUAUCCACCAUCACUUCACCUAACACAUAUCUAAACUGUUCAACAUCAUCAAAUACAUCUCCUAACCUCAGCCUAUGUUUACCAUUACGCCUUGGCUUAUAUGCAUGCACUUCAAUAUCAUCCUUCAGCUGAGUGGUACCCAAAUCAUAAUAUGAAUCUGAUGUGUCUGCUAACAGCUGAGGAUCUACUUCAGCUGUUUCAUCGUCAGAACUAGAACCCCUAGCAUCAUCCAUAAUAUCUGCACCAUUAUCUUCAUUUUGGUCAUCGUCAUCAGCAUCAUCAUCAUCAGUGUCAUCUAUACGACUCCCAUCAGUUGAAUAUACUACAUCAUCAUCAUCAUUCUCAUGCCCAUCAUUCUCAUUCAGUUCUGUUGGUGGCCCUUGUAUGCCUCCAGUCCUAGGUGGUGGUUCAUUUCCACCAUCAUUCACCCAUGUAAUUUGCUCUGCAGAUAACUGCACUCCACAGUUAUGUAGCAUCGCUUGUAACACCCCACAAAGUGGUAAAUCAGGACGUAGGGUUGGCAAAAUUGUGGCUUCAAACACUGCCACUUCCAUUUAAUCAUGUACAGCGAACUGAGCCUGCAACACUGCCUCAGAAUCUACAGUAAUCGAAAGCUUGUCCCUUGGGUUGGUAACCGAUAACUGCACACUUUCAGGAGUUUCUUCAUCUGCUGCAGGGUAUAUUCUUCAGGUUCAAUCAACCCUAUAGGAUGUCUUUCACCUUUGUAAAGUAAAUGUAGUUGUAAUGGUAACAUCAUCUACCAGAUUAAAAACGAGGAAACAUUUUGAAUAACUAAAAUUACAGCAUAACUCAAAGCAAUUUAAUUAGGUAAAAAGUAAUGAAAAAUAACUAAAAUUAUGGCCAAUAACCAAAAUUUCAGCAAAACGGCAAAUGCAUGUAAGCUUAAUGGUUACAAAUAAAAAAUUAAUUAACAGUAAGCAAAAAUUAAUUAACAAUAGGCAACUAAUAAUCCUAAUCUAUUAAAUUCAAGUGCCAAUCACAACUCAAAGCAAUUUAAUUAGGUAAAAAGUAACGAACAAUAAUCAAAAUUAUGCCCAAUAACCAAAAUUACAGCAAAACGGCAAAUGCAUGUAAGCUUGAUGAUUACAAAUAAAAUGGCAAAAAUUCAUUAACAAUAACCAAGCAGUAAUCCUACUUACAAUGGACAAAGUAGAAGACAGUAGAGAUGGAAGAACACUGCUGCGAGAGUGAGAGAGAUAUGCGUCAGUUACAAUGAGCGAGAGAGAGCAGAGAUGGAAGAAGAAUCGAGAGAGAGGGGGAUUGAUUUCGAUUUCUAGGGCUCCAUGUCCAAAUUGCCCGCUUUCUUUACAAUUGCAAAACGCAACGUUUUCGCCUCACGUGAUAUGUCCAAAAUACCCUUAUGACGUCAGCAUAAUUUUUAUUCAGUUAACGGAAUUGUGGGAAAAUGCUAACAGUUUAAACAUUUAGUGGUAAAAUGAUAGUUUUACCAAACCAUGGUACUGACAUGAUGUGUCAGAAUACCUUUAGUGGGAAAAUGAUAAUAUCCCUAUGUAAAAUAUAUAAAUCUAAAAAAUAGUCUUGAAUUUUUUUUUUUUUUGGGCUCCUGUUUUAUUAUUCUUUUUCUAAAGUAAUUUUCUCUCUUCUUAUUAAAGGCUUGAGAUAAAUUAUAUAUCCCUUUUUCUUUUAUUGAAUCAUAAUUCUUCGUUUCUUCUAUUGAAUCAUAGUUCUUGUGAUUUUGAUUUUUAGUAUGUAUUGCCUACAAUUUAUCAUUGAGGUAUCAGUUACAUAAAUAUAAUUUUCCAUUAAUCUUAUUUCGAAGAUGUUAAUGAAAUAUAUUUGGUGAAAACGAUAUUAGAGUGAGGAUACGUGCACCCAUGACAAAAAUUUGCAAAGAACUCUUCAAUCUUUCAAAUUUUCCAAUUGAUAAAGAAUUGAUUUAAAAAGAAGAAGAAGAUGAUGAUGGUGAUUUAAGAUUUUAUAAUACAUGGGUGUGUCAAGGAUAUUUGUUUCAAGUUAAAAUUAUUCAAUCCUUAAUACUAAUUUCAUAAAAGGACGUUUUUAUAAUCUAAAAUUUUAUUAAAUAAAGAGGAUUAAAAAUAACUUUUAGAAUAUAUAAAUAAAUAGCCUCUCUCGAUUAUAAAGUACAAGGUCACUCGAUGAUGUCAUGAAUUUAUGUAAUCAAAUAUGAAUUAUGUAAAUGAAACAUAAGACUUAUAAAUUUAAUAUAAAACAUGUAAAUCAAUAUUAACUGUGAACUAACAUAUAAAUUAUGUAAAUAAAAUAUUAGACUUGUAAGUAGAAGGUAAAACAAACAAAUUAAUAUAGGAGUGAUAAAUUGGUAUAUUAUUGGUAAAUAAAAGAAAAACUUACAAAUGUAAUAUAUAAUUUAUAAAUCAAUAUUAAGUGUGAAAUAAAAUAUAAAUUGCGUAAAUGAAACAUAAGACAUGUAAAUAAAAGAUAAAAUAAGUAAAUUAAUAUAAGAUAUAAUAUAAAACUAUUAGUAGUAAACAAAAUAAAAAUUUAAAGAUAUAAUAUAAAACUAUAAAUCAAUAUUAAGUACAAAAUAAAACAUAAGUUUAGGUGUAAUUUACAAAAUUAAUAUAAGAUUUAUUAAAAAAAACUUACAAAUGUAAAAUAAAAAUUCAUUAUAAUAUUGAUUACCUUAUAUAUUUAUUGAUUCUAUUUUAAAUUGAAUAAUGAUAGUUUUUAUCUUAUGUAAUAAAUGUGAUGUUUUAUAUAAAUUUAUUCUCAAAAUUAGAUUUUGAAAUCUAUUCUUUUAAUGUUUUUCGAAUUUAUUGUAAGAUGACAUGAUUUUUCAUCCUUCUAAAUCUCCUCAUCAGCAAUGCAAAUAGUUUCUAAAUACAAGUAAGGGGUGACGGUUAAAAUUACAAGAAGUUUAUGUAAAACUCAAAACUAGAUUUAAUUUUAUUAAUAUGUCAUCUAUGUGUUUAGUAAUAUAAGAAUAUAUUUUUAUUUUAUUUUUUGUUUAAUCCACAUUAAGAUAAAUUAUUUCGCAUAGUUAACUUGUGUAGUAAAACAAAAAAAAAAAAUGACAGAAAAUGAAAAAAAAUAAGUUUAUAAAUAUCUUAAGACAAAUAUAGAAUUUAUUCUUAAACCAAUUUAGUAAAACUUAUUCUACUUGUUUUCAGUAUAAUUUUUUUGGUCUUAGAUUGAUGACUAUUUUUUUUUCAUUGUUUAGCUAAAGUAAAUGAAUAAAUUAUUUUUUCACUAAAAUUAUGUAGAAAUCAUGUUAAUUAUUUUAAUAAUUAACUGGUUUAUAUUAAUUUACAUGUUUUAUCUUCCAAUCACUUAUCUUAUGUAUAAUUUUAUAAAAUAUAUUUUUUACCACACCAUUAAUGCUGUAAUUCUAAUCAUGGCAUUAUAAAAUUUUCCAAUGUGGGGAAACUUCUUUACUCUAAAUAAAACUAGAGUUGUGUUGAGCACAAUUUAAAUAUCUAAACAGAGUUCCGUUGGCAUUAAACUUCAUUAUAAAAGAGUCUACAUUGGCAUCAUGCUAAUCUUAUUGACAAUAUAUAGUUGCCGGUAUUAAUUAUUUUUGCACCAUAGCUUCCGUAGAAUCAAUUGGGUACCCAGUUCCGGAUGAAGGGUUGGAACCGCCGUUGGAGCAUGUACAUAAGAUGGAGACAACUCGAAUGAGUAGUUUUGAAGAAUCAUUGCCGUGGCCAUUUUUGCUUCUACUAGAGCAAAAUUUUGUCCAACACAUAUCCUAGGACCCAAUGCGAAUGGGAAAUAUGAAACUUGAUUUUUCGCCGCCUUUGAAAUUCCUUCCGCAAACCUUUCCGGCUUAAACUCAACUGCAUCGUCACCCCAAAGUUCAGGAUCCUGGUGAACUAGGAUCAUUGGCAAGCCAAUUUGAACCCCAGCGGGUAAUGUCAAGUUUCCGAGUUUCGUUUCCUUAAAAACAGCUCGACUAAGCACAGUUACGGGCGGAUAAAGCCUGAGUACCUCGUAAAGUAUCAUCUGGACCUGUCACAUACAUACAAACACAACUGAGAUUAAUAUGAUCAAAUUGAUCAAUAUCGAAUACUAUUUCCUUCGUACUUACAAUUUUGAGGUGAUUCAAUCCAUCAUAGUCGGGCUUAUUAUUGCCAAACACUUGCAAAACCUCUUGCCUUGCACGUUCUUGCCAAUCUUGAUGCUUGCUCAAUAAGACCAUCGUCCAAUUAAGCAAAACAGAGGUAGUCUCUUGGCCGGCAAAGUAAAAUAGCUUACACUCUUCAAUCACAUCGUUCAUGCUGAACCCAACAUUUUUGUUAUUUCCAUGUUCUUCAAUCUCUCUAAAACUGGUUUCCAUCAGUAUGCCUAACAAGUCAUCAUUCGCAGCUUCCCCUGCUCUCAUUGCCUUCUCCCUAUUUUUGAUGAUUCCCAUCAAUGAAGCCCGGAUUUCCUUGUCAAUUUCUUUCAUUCUCCUAUUUCUCUUUGUAGGUAAAAACCUAUAUAUAACCAAUGAAACAACUGAAAAGACAAGAACUAAACAAACUAAUCAAACCCUUAAUUUUUUUUUUGCCCUCUUUUACCAAUCAGAAAUCUGCUGGAGCCUCUUAGAAUAACUCUAUGAUUAGCACAAUCAAGAUAUCUGAGCCGAAAUCAGCUAGGUCUACUUCUAAUAUUUUGCGGGAAAGAAAAUAACUCCCACAAAGCUAAUCAAAGCCUACUCAUAAAUAAUCCUAUAUGACAUGUAUAUAUGAAUGUUUCCAGUGAAGAGAAAUGUGAAUAUACCUCCAUCCUGGAAUGUGAACUGAACGAAAGACUUGCAUUGUGAGUUCAGCUAGCUCUGCCUGGAGCUGAAAAAUCCUUCUUCCUUCUUCAUAACUACUCCCAAAAGCCGUUCGAGAAAUCACAUCACUUGUUAAAUUUGCAAGAUAAGGCCAUACAUCCAACUCAGAUGAUCCUUCUACAGACAUUUGCUUCUCCCACUUUGUAAUUAUUUCGAUACAACUCAAGUAGAAUGCUGGCAACAUAAGCUGUAACAAAAGCAAGAAAUCUAAAUGAGGGCAAAAUCGAAUCUUCCAAAGAUAUGUAAACAAAUGGAGAAGUUAAUUAAUAAACCUUGAGCUUCUCUUGGUGGAAGGCUGGGUUGAUGAGUUUUCUAUGUUUAGCCCACUUCUCCCCCUCAAGGGUAGCCAAUCCAACUAUCAGCAGCCUGGCAAGUGGGAUUGAAUUGACUUUUUGAAAAUCAUUGAUCCUGGUAAAUAUCUCUUUUAUUUGAUCAGGAUUCAUAAUGUUCACCCUUGGUGUCGGACCAAACCACAUGAAAGAAUUCUUACCUGCAGAAUUUUUUUACCAAUAUAUACGCACAUGUUACUUGCUAGAGGCAGAUGGUACAUUGAAAAUGGUAGUAUACCUAAGCUGUGAAAAUUUAGUUAUUUUAUUCACAAAUCAGUCAAAGAAUAACCAUUCAUACUAAUUGAUUUUACUUCAAGCAGAAAAGAUCUAACAAGCAACUUUGCCCAUUAUAAGGUAAACAAUUAGAAACAUGGCACGAUUUUAUAAGAUUAUGUAAAAGCCUAAUGGCUUUGAAACAGUGAAUUAAUCAGACAACACUCAGCAAAAGGAACAACGCUGCCCUCUGGAAAUUUUACAUGUGGCAUAGCCCAUCCACUGGUUGAAUUACACCCACACGCCUAUCUCAUCAAGACAUUAGUGGUUCUAGCCACUCGGUCAAGGCUGAGUGGUAAAGUAUCACCACUUAAUUAAAAAGAAAAGAGAGAGAGAGAGAGAGAAGUUUAGCUGCAACAUCGAUUUUUUUCUCUGAUCAAAGAAGCGUAAAAAUAAAAUUAUGUUUUAACCCACCAAAAUUUUCCAGAAUUAUCUUUACGUGAAACAUCUCUUCUGAAUCAGAAGUCUAAUCAAAUUUCUUUCAUCAGACAGGAUUAAUUCUUUAAGCAGUGGCGCAGUCCAGAUAUUUGAGUCAUUUGAGUCCAGAACAGAACAAAUCUACUUUUGAACGAGUAAAGUUAAAAGAGUACACGCCGGGAUUGACAUACAUACCAUAAUCAUUUACCAGUUUAUGAAGGAAUGGAUUGACACGAAUAGCAAUAUUGUCAUCCAAACUGAGGGGUCUGGCUUUGGCUUCCUUCAGCUCGAUGGAAUUUUCUUUCAAGUCACCAAACAGAAGCCUGUAAGAAUUGCCUUUUAAACCUUGCUGUCUCAGGAAUUUCUCCAGCUUCUCGGGCCUCAGCCACACCCAGUUCAGCACUCUCCAUGCCCAUGUUAGCACCGUUACAAUAACAAUGGUCAAAGCUAUGGAUUUCAGAGGCAACUCCAUUUCACACUGACAGAUUUUGUGGGUUUAAAUUUGAAGAGACGAACGAGAAGAGUAUAUAUAGUCAUCAAGCGAAUGAGAAAAUCGUUUUCCUUUGCAUGUGUCUUUGAUUAGGUGUUUUCUGGAUCGAUGAUUUCAGAAUUUCCCCGGACAAAGACAUUGUCCCCAGUAAGCGGUGUUAACGAUACGUGUCAAGCUUGCAUGCGACUGUGAACUGUGGACUUUGUUCUAGAACUAGACUGUAUGGGAUCGAUUAAUUUUAAAAAAUAAACUAAAAUUCAUAUAGUAAGAAUUUUUAAGUAUAAAUGUUUGUAAAAUAAAAUCUAAACCUACAUUUGAAUGGCAAGCAUCUAUAAACAAGAUCUGUAUUCUGUCAUAUGACGCCAGGAAAUAUACUGCCUUUUCGUAAAUGCAUAAUCAAGCAGCAUGAUGUGCUCUGCUUUCACACGAAUGUAGGUCCACUAUGUCUUGGCUUUUACGGAAUUUCAAUUAUAUUGUUAUGGGGAUUAAUGGCUCUGCUUAAUUUUGGGGCCUGCUUUCAGAGAAAUGCAAAACGAUUAGAACUCUGCUUUGUGAUACAGACAAGACGCAAUGGUUCUAUCAUCUUCAUCUCUACUAUUUCAUUUAUCUUUAUCAUGAAUAUAAUCCACGAUUCUCAAACAUGAUAAACAAGGUCACAAACUAUGGUGUACCAAUCGGCUGUUUUUUUUUUUUAACUUAAUUAAUUUAAUUUUAACCAUUUAAAUCAUUGAGUCCAUUUAUUUUUUCAACUUAAUGAAAAUUUUCAAUCACUAAAUCAUUCAGUUAUCAAGCUAAUUUUUAAAUUUUUUGUUUAAUCUAAAAAGUCUAAAUAAUAACAUUAAAAGAUAUUCUCUAAAAUAUCUCUAUCUAAUUAAUUAAUUUUUACCCUUACCUAAAUAAAUUUUAAUAAUUGAUGUUAUUACCUACCUCUAUAACUUGUGAUAAUAUAGUGCACUAGUAGACUACUAUUAUUUUUAAUUUUUUAUUUUCUUCAAAUUAAAAUUAUUUAUCUUCAUAAUUUUUCAUCAAUAUUUUUCAUAUAAAAACAUCGUAAACUAUAGUAAAAAUGAUUAAUAUAUACUAAUUUAGAAUAUUAAAAAGAGUAUAGACAUUAUGAGACAGUAUCAUUAAGCAGCUACUGGAAUAAGAUGUUAUGAGCCUAAAUUUUAUAAGGUCAAAGUUGAAUUUGGCCGAUCCUCUAACCAAAAAAACUAAACAAGAGUUUAGUAGAGAUCACAUCAAGGGAGAUGGGACUAGUGUCUAGAUUAGAAGACAAGAGUGAUGGUAACCCUACCUAUGUGAUUGGAGAUCACAUGAAAAAUGUUCAAUAAGUUACUUGUUGUUUUGGAACACUAUCAAUAUUAUGUAAUCUUAUUUUUAUUCAAUAAAGAUUUUCUUUAUUUAUAAGUCCUCGUUAUAAUAAGAUAAUGUUUAUCGCAGUGAGUUAGGUUAAGCAAUUGAGCUUUUAAUGAACUCCAUAACUCACUUUUUAUGUAUGGUGGUGUGUUAAAACUGCAUGACAUACUUGAUGGAGGUUCACCUAUGUUAGUGUGGAAUUGGAUAAGUUCCUAUGAGAGUUAAACAUGCUUCUCUAGAGCGCUCAUGAAUACAAGAGCACAGGGCUACUAAAGUGCCAAACCGUAGAACAACAAAACAUUGAGAGAGUUUAAUGUGAGCUUCUAGUCAGCUGCCUUACAAAAAAAAGAAUAUUGGUUUAUAGAAAUUAUCAGUUUCACCAAGUUCCUAUGACACAUGGUUAGUUAUUCAAUGGCCAAUUCAUAACCCAAAUGGCACCAGUUCAUAUGCAUUAAACUCUAUGGACAAUGAUGAAAGAAAUUGAGUAUUUUGAAAUAUGUGGAGGAUUGUUAAAGAUUGAGUUUGUAUUUUAAAAUACCAAUAUUCCACAUUGCUUAAACAACAGAGUAUAAGUUGGUUUUUAUAUAGAUACCAAAUAUAGUGUAGUAACAAGCCUAUGAAGAGGAGGCCCAUAUGCAUGAAACCAAGAGCGAGUGAGGAGCUCAUUCCAUGACUCUAUUAAUUGGUUGCUCGUACCCAAUAACUCACUCGCAAUGGGGACCCUCCUUCCCCCCAUGGGGUGUUGUGUAUAUGUGUGGGCUUGGCCAUUUAUUAUGUUUUUGUCCUUUGUUUUAAUUUUAUUUAUUUUAAUUUGAAUUAAAUUGAGAAUUUAAUUCCUAAUCGAAUUAGGAUUUAAUAAAUAUAAUUAGAGUGAUGAUACAGCCAUAAACUCUUGUACAAACUUAUUUUGUACAAACUGAUGUGUCAUUAAUUCAUUGGCUGAAUAAAAAUAUAAAAUAAUAAAAAUAAAUCAUGUGGGCCAAGUAAUAUUUAAUUUAACCAAUCUUAUCAUGCCACAUCAGUUUGUACAAAAUAAGUUUGUACAAGAGUUCGUGACUAUAUCAUUACUCAUAUAAUUAUAAUUCGAAUUUAGAGAGGAAAAAGGGGUUAGGGCUUGUAUCUAUUUAAAGAGCCGAAUAUAUCACACUAUGGUCAUCCGAAAAUUUACUCUCUUGCUCUCUUCAUCCGAAAACUUACUCUCUUGCUCUCUGUUCUUUGUUGCUCUCUGUUUUCCUUUCUUUCGUCAUUGUACGUUUUGCUAUUCUAAACUAUCAAGUUGAAGUGCAACAUCACAAUCGUAAUAGUAAUUGUAUCAUAGAAAUCAAACUACUUUUGUUAGCCCUUCUUGCACCGAAAUACUGCAUCUUGAGAUAUCUUAAGGACAGUGCUAUCGCCAGCCUUAAAUGUUUGUUGUUUCCGUCCAAAUUUCAUUGUUUUUCAUCCUAAAAUUCCGACUGCUAGACCAGUAUAACUACUGGGGGAUAGAGCCUGGAUACCUAGUAGAAUAUCAUUUGAACAUGUAAGAUAUGCACACAAAAAGCAAAUUAAUACGACCAAAAUUUAUCAACUAUAGUAAAGCAUAUUUCAACUCAAUUUCAUUCGUACUUACAAUUUUGAGGUGAUUCAAUCCACCAUAAUCUUGCAAAAAACUUGCAAAAACUCUUUUCUUGCACGUUCUUGCCAAUCUUGAUGCUUGCUCAAUAGCAACAUUGUCCAAUUAAGCAAAACAGAGGUAGUCUCCUGGCCAGCAAAGUAAAAUUGCUUGCACUUUUCGAUCACAUCGUUGAAGCUUAUUCCAACAUUUUUGUUGUUUCCAUGUUCUUCAAUUUCUCUAAAAUUGGUCUCCAUCGGUAUGCCAAGUCAUCAUUUCCAGCUUCCUCUGCUUUCAUUGCCUUCUCUCUGUUUUUAAUUAUUCCCAUCAGUGAAGCUCGUAUUUGCUUGUCAAUUUCCUUCAUUCUCUUAUUUCUUUCUGAAGGUACCAGCCAGCCUAUAAGAAAUAGGAACAAUAGAAAAUACAAGAACGUAUUGAAUGCACUAAUCAAAUCCUACUUAUCGAUUUCAACAAUAUGAUUAACAUCUUAGAUUAACUAUAUGACGACAUGGAUCGAAGUUAUAAGCCCAGGAUGGGCCAAACCUACUUCCAUAUUUUUGAAAGAAAAUCAACUCCUACAUUGCUAAUUACUCCCAGAAGCCGUCCUCAGAAUCACAUCACUAGUUAAUUUUGCAAGAGAAGGCCGUACACCCAACUCACACGAUCCUCCUUUGGACGUCAGGUUCUCCCACUUUGUAAUUAUUUCACUACAACUUUGGUAGAACGCAGGCAACAUAAGUUGAAACGAAACAGAAAGAAAUUAAAAUGAAGACAUUUAUGUAAACAAAUGAAGAAAUCAAUUAAUAACCUAGAGCUUCUCUUGGUGGAACUGGUUCAUAAGAUUUCUAUAUUAACCCACUUGUCACCUCAUGGCUAACCAAUGCAAGUGCCAAUAAUCUGGCAAGUGGAUCUGAAUUGAUUUUUUGAAAAUCAUUGAUCUUGGUAGAUAUCUCUUUGAUUUGAUCGGGCUUCACAAUAUUCAACCUUCGUGUCGGACCGAACCACAUAAAUGAAUUAUUGCCUGCAUCAAUUUUUAAGCUCUGGUUAUUUUGCUCGUGGCAUAACUUACCACAGCUUGAGUUACACCCAUUAGCCCAUGAUAUCAAGAAAAUUAUUGGUCUCGCAAACAACAUAGCUCAAAUGUUUCAACACCAUACAUAUUUUCUUCAUUAAUAAAAAAACAAUUACGUUUUAACCCAUAAAAAUAUUCAAGAAUUAUCUUGAUGUGUAUGAUCUCUACUAACUACAAUUAUAACGAGAAGUCUAUUUGGAUUUCUUCCACUUAUAACAGCUCUACAAUUGUGCAAACUGAAUUAGUUUUAUUAAUAAUGGCACAAUCCAGUCGAGAUAUUAUCGUCUAAACUUUCUUUCAAGUCACCAAACAGAAGCCUGCAAGAAUUGCCUUUGAAACCUUUGCUGUCUCAGGAAUUUCUCCAGCUUCUUGGGCCCCUCAGCCACACCCAGUUCAGCACUCUCCAUGCCCAGUUCCCACUGUUACGAUAACAAUGGUCAGGUCUAUGGAUUUCAGGGGCAAUUCCAUUUCACACAGAGAGAUUUUUGAAGUGUUCAAAGAAAUGAGACUUGCCUACGUGGUAGAUUAGUUGAAAGUGAAUUAAAAAAAUAUUUUCGUUUGCAUAUGUUUAAUGGCUUUUCUUAGUUUCGAAUUUUCCUGUACCAUUAUAUUGUUUCCAGCUAAUGGUACACGUGUCAAUAUCAAUCAUGCAUGUGGUGAUCUUUGUGGACUUGUCACUCAUUGACUGUCUUCUAUAGAACUAGAGAAUGUAAGUUCGGUUAAUUAUUUGAAAAAAAAAAUUGUUUACCCCUAAUACAUUAAUUAUUCUCAAAAUAUCCUCAAACUAUAAUAAACAUUAAUCAAUCCACAAUUACUAUUAAGAAGGUAAAAAAAGAAAAAAGAAAUCAUCAAUCGUUCCCAUUUGAUCUUAUUUUUUGAAUGAUCAUUAGGGUAAAUUAAGGUUUACAAUAAUUUAGAGAUAACUGAAAUUAAUAAAAAAAUAAAUAAAAUAAAACUCAUCUAAAUAAAUUAUGCAUGGUGGGCCUAUUUGCGCUUUAAAAAAUACUCAAAAUAUACUAUUAUUUAUGUAUACUCAUUUACUUAUUUUAUAAAAAGGGUAGGGCUAUUUGCACUCUUAACAUUACUAUGAAUAUUCUUAUUUUAAUAAAUUAUUUUAUUACAAAAAUACCUAUUAUAUGAAUUACUAAUAUGGAAUCUCUCUUAUAAACUAACAUAAUAAAAUUACUCCAAACACUCACUAUUCAAUAUAUGAUUAUCUUGCCAUAAACCCGAAAAAUUUUUAAUCCAAUAUCUUAAACAAUAUUUAGUUAAACAAAGAGCAAAUCAAUACUUUUAAUAUAUUUUGAGCAUAUUUUUACUCUUUGAUUUUCAGAAGAAAAAAAAAAUUGCAGUCUUCUUCCUCUUCCUCAUCCUUCUUUUAGUCUUCUUUUUCUUCGGCUAUUUCUUCUUCCUCUUGUUUUCCUUUUUUUCUUUUUUUCUUUUUUUUUGGCUAGAUGGCAAAAAUAUUUUCAAUUGUUUGGUUAAAAAAUUGGGUGCAAAAACUAAUAUUGAAUACAUUCUUUAAUAGACAAAAGCUAAUAAAGAAUAUGUUUAGAAUAUAAUUUGAUUCCUUUGUGUACAUACUAAGUUGUUAUUAAUUCAUUUUGGAUGCUCAAUAGUUUAAUUGGUGUUUUGAGUAAAUUAGUUUAACUAGUUUAAUUAAGGUCUUUUUUUUGUAUUUUAAAGAGUGUAGAAAGUAAAUUUUAAUUAUUUUAAAUUCAGCACAUGAUUGUACAGACUAAUAAAGUGUUCAAAGUAAUUUUUGGAGUAUAAAUAACCUAAUCUUUUGAAAAAUGGUGGGACUAUUUGAAUCCACCAUAAUACUCAUUUGACCCACUUUUUAGAAAACAUUUUUACUACUAAAUUGUCUCUAACGUAAAUCACUAUUAAAGACAUAAUAGUAUGUAUAUACUUCAUGCUCUCAUCUUUUAAUCAUGUCUAAAUCUGUUCAAUGUAGACAUAAGAGAAAAUUGGUUUCAUACUUUUAAAUUUUUUUUAAAAUUUUCUUCAACUCCUUUGGUCGAAAACAAAUCUAAUCGAGUUGUUGGAUACUUGGAUUUGGUCAAAACUAUCUCACCAGUAAAGCUCAUUCGAAUCCAAUAAACCAAUAAGUUCUAGUCAAGAUAUUCUAGAUUCAAGCAAUAAAAUUUAGGAAAAUUAUCAGUCAUAUACUUUUAAAUGACACCCGCAUUAAACGUGUGUGAACACUUUUCAAAUGUAUCACUCGUGUACCCUAAGAUGACAAAACACUUCUGCCAUCCGCCAAUCCGUUAACUUCCGUUUGCAAGCGUUGACAUCAUAAGGGCAAUUUAGUCUUUUAAGAUUGACGAAACUUUGAUUUACAAAAACGACAUGUCAUCUCAUUUACCUAGUACAAAAUGACAUGUCAUAUGAUAUAUAUUGACAAAAAUGACAUGUCAUCCCAUUUAUCGGAUAAUUGUUAAUAAUUGCUAAAAAAACUACUUUACAACCGAAUCUACUCCUCUAAAAUUUAACCUAAUUUUGAAGAUCUACUCCUCCAAGUUCCAACUGGAAAGUUUUAUGGUAUAAUAUGUAUAAUUGUGAAUAAUAUGUUGUUAAUAAUUUUUUAUGGUAUAAUAUGGAUAUUUUUUAUGAAUAAUUGUUAAUAAUAUGUACCAUUAAUAAUUCAUUUUUUUAAUAAAAAAAUGUAUUGUUAAUAACAAAAUAAAAAAAAAUUGUGUAUUGAAAAUUUACGUUAAUUUUUGGGGUAAAUUUAUCUUUUUACCUUAUAUUUUGAGUUUCAAGGGUAAAAUAGUCAAUUUGUCACAAUUCUGUUAACUUUCUAAUGGAAGUUAACGAAUCUAAUGGAAGUUAACGAAUUGAUGGAUGGCAUAAGUGUUUUGUCAACUUAGGGUAUACGAGUAAUACACUUGAAAAGUGUUCACACACGUUUGAUACGGGUGUCAUUUAAGAGUAUAUGGCUGAUAAUUUCCCUAAAAUUUAUUUCAUUAAAUUUGCACUAUAUAAGAAAGGGAAAAGUUAUGCCAUUGACAAAUAUUGAGCGCUUGAAUUAGUUGUGUGAUCAAUUGAUUAUUGAUUACAACUAUCAUCUUAUUGUCAUUUAAUUUUUUCAUGAUAUUAUAUAUAUUUUAUAGCAGUUUAAUGACAAGCACGGACAAAAAAUAAAUUCCACUUGAGAAGUUGAAGGAUACGACCUUUGGUUAUGAAUGCGUCAAGGGUUGGAGAGAUGGAAGAAGAAGAAGAGAAGAAAAAUGUUGCAGAAAAUCAUGAAUUAAUUUCAAGGAUAUGUUGGUUAUUAACAUGGGUUUAUAAAGUAUAAUAUAAAAUUUUUAACAAUAGAAUUAAUAAGUAGAUGAGUUUACAAAGUAAUUUGGUGGGUUCAAAUAUACUCACUCUUUAAAAUAAUUAGUUUUUACUCUGCAUACUCUUUUUUUUUUUUUUAUGAGAAAGUAAAGCUUUCAAUUGAUUAAGAAGAAGAAAACAACAUCAACACCUAGACAGGGAAAUCACCUAUCCAGGUGACAGCAUCCUCAAACUCAAGAGCUACAUUAGCUAAGUUAUGGGCUAUUACAUUACACUUUCUUGGGACAAAACGAAUAGCUGCCGAGGCCUGGUUUUUCAACUCUGCUUGUAUUUCUUCAAUGUUCCAACAAAUUUUAGCUAAACUUUCCUUCUUGUUUAAAGUGAGCUCCACAACUUCCUUCAAGUCUGAUUCAACAAUGAAUUGGGCACAAUUUGUUUUCUGAGCUACUUGAAUACCGAGCAGCACUGCUUCUGCCUCCAUGUUUGCCACAUUUCCUUUUAAAGCUACUCUCUUAACAGCUGCAGCCAUGAUCUCAUAAAAUACUAAAAAAGCUACUCUCUUAACUCUAUACACUCUUUAAAAUACUAAAAAAGUCCUCAACAAAACCUUUAAGUAAAUCAAUUAAGAAUUUCAAGCUAAAAUAAAUCUAUACAUGUAAUCACAAUUUAUUAAAAAUGGUAGUAAAACUUUUAUAUUUGAAGUCAAGUACUUAAUUACCAAGCUUAAAUAAAUUAAACAAUUAAAAUUUAUUCAUCUUUUUAAAUUUUAAAAUAUUAUUAGUCAAAAGUUUCAAUAAUAAACUAAACUCAACUUAACAUAAAGUUAUUUGGGUGUCAUUGUUUCUUUGUCAUACACUCUACCUUUUUUUUUAAGAACCUACUGUUGACUGUUUUUCUAUCAAAAACUCCUUAAAAUAUUUAAAUUUUAUCUUCUAACUUGUCCUCUUGGUUAAUGUAACUAAUAACUAAAAUCUCAAAAUUCACAUAAAAGUUUAUGAAAUGUUGAUAUAUAGUUGUUACUAUAUUUUGUUUUUGUAAGUAUUGGCAUUUUUUCAAUUAAAUUAUUUUUAUAAAUAAAUUAAAACAGUAAUAAUAUUUUAGUCCCCAAAUCUUUUCAAUCUAUUCAAUAAAUAUAUAAUUUAAUUUUUUCAUGAAAUAAGUCACUAAUUCCAAUUGGGAAGAAAAUAUAAUUGAAUUAGGAACAUAUUUAAAAAUAAAAUAAAAACUCUAUUAUUUUAUAAAAAUUGAUAAAAAAAAAAAAAACAUAAGGGUAGUUAAAUUAGGGACAUAUAUGAAAAAAAUAAAACUAUAUUAUUAUAUAAAAUUAAUGAAAAAAUAAGGGGUAUAAAUAACUUUCCUGGACUAAUCCGGGCUACACCCCCGCUUAGGUCCGCCUGCGCACUCAUUACUCCAAAUACAACGUUUAAAUUUUAAAAUCAAAUUUUUACUAUGUAAAAUAUAUAAAUCUAAAAAAUAGUCUUGAAUUGUUUUUUUUUUUGGGGCUCCUGUUUUAUUAUUCUUUUUCUAAAGUAAUUUCUCUCUUCUUAUUAAAGGCUUGAGAUAAAUUAUAUAUCCCUUUUUCUUUUAUUGAAUCAUAGUUCUUCGUUUCUUUUAUUGAAUCAUAGUUCUUGUGAUUUUGAUUUUUAGUAUGUAUUGCCUACAAUUUAUCAUUGAGGUAUCAGUUACAUAAAUAUAAUUUUCCGUUAAUCUUAUUUCGAAGAUGUUAAUGAAAUAUAUUUGGUGAAAACGAUAUUAGAGUGAGGAUACGUGCACCCAUGACAAAAAUUUGCAAAGAAGUCUUCAAUCUUUCAAAUUUUCCAAUUGAUAAAGAAUUGAUUUAAAAAAGAAGAAGAAGAUGAUGAUGGUGAUUUAAGAUUUUAUAAUACAUGGGUGUGUCAAGGAUAUUUGUUUCAAGUUAAAAUUAUUCAAUCCUUAAUACUAAUUUCAUAAAAGGGCAUUUUUAUAAUAUAAAUUUUUAUUAAAUAAAGAGGAUUAAAAAUAACUUUUAGAAUAUAUAAAUAAAUAGCCUCACCCGAUUAUAAAGUACAAGGUCACUCGAUGAUGUCAUGAAUUUAUGUAAUCAAAUAUGAAUUAUGUAAAUGAAACAUAAGACUUAUAAAUUUAAUAUAAAACAUGUAAAUCAAUAUUAAUAGUGAAAUAACAUAUAAAUUAUGUAAAUAAAAUAUUAGACUUGUAAGUAGAAGGUAAAACAAACAAAUUAAUAUAAGAGUGAUAAAUUGGUAUAUUAUUGGUAAACAAAAGAAAAACUUACAAAUGUAAUAUAUAAUUUAUAAAUCAAUAUUAAGUGUGAAAUAAAAUAUAAAUUGCGUAAAUGAAACAUAAGACAUGUAAAUAAAAGAUAAAAAAAAGUAAAUUAAUAUAAGAUUGGUAAAUUAAUGUAUUGGUAGUAAACAAAAUAAAAAUUUAAAGACAUAAUAUAAAGCUAUAAAUCAAUAUUAAGUACAAAAUAAAACAUAAGUUUAGGUGUAAUUUACAAAAUUAAUAUAAGAGUUAUUAAAAAAAACUUACAAAUGUAAAAUAAAAACUCAUUAUAAUAUUGAUUACCUUAUUUAUUUAUUGAUUCUAUUUUAAAUUGAAUAAUGAUAGUUUUGGUCUUAUGUAAUAAAUGUGAUGUUUUAUAUAAAUUUAUUCUCAAAAUUAUAUUUUGAAAUCUAUUCUUUUAAUGUUUUUCAAAUUUAUUGUAAGAUGACAUGAUUUCUCAUCCUUCUAAAUCUCCUCAUUAGCAAUGCAAAUAGUUUCUAAAUACAAGUAAGAGGUGACGGUUAAAAUUACAAAAAGCAUCUGUAACACUCAAAAUUAGAUAUAAUUUUAUUGAUAUGUCAUAUAUCUGUUUAGUAAUAUAAGAAUAUGUUUUUUUUUUUUAAUCCACAUUAAGAUAAAUUAUUUCGCUUUGUUAACUUGUGUAGUAAAAAAAAAAAAACAAUGACAGAAAAUGAAAAAAAAAAGUUUAUAAAUAUCUUAAGACAAAUAUAGAAUUUAUUCUUAAACCAAUUCAAUAAAACUUAUUCUACUUGUUUUCAGUAUAAUUUUUUUGGUCUUAAAUUGAUGACUAUUUUUUUUUCAUUGUUUAGCUAAAGUAAUGAAUAAAUUAUUUUUUCACUAAAAUUAUGUAGAAAUCAUGUUAAUUGUUUUAAUAAUUAACUGGCUUAUAUUAAUUUACAUGUUUUAUCUUCCAAUCACUUGUCUUAUGUAUAAUUUUAUAAAAUAUAUUUUUUACCACAACAUUAAUGCUGUAAUUCUAAUCAUGGCAUUAUAAAAUUUUCCAAUGUGGGGAAACGUCUUUACUCUAAAUAAAACUAGAGUUGUGUUGAGCUCAAUUUAAAUAUCUAAACAGCUCUUGUCUAAGCUUUGAAUCUCAAUACAAAAUUAAAGGUGUGUUUGGCACGCAGCAUUACACCACAUUAAAACUCUGUAUUGUAUUAAAUCAAUACAAUAUCAUGUUUGGUAAAAAGUUAACUUUGUAUUAAACCUCAUUAUAAUACACCAAACGCCGCAAAAAAUAAACCCGUGGGGGAGUCGUAAUUAGGCCGCAUUGCAUUCGAAAAGAGAAAUAAAAUAUUUUCUUCUUCCAAACACGAUCCUCAGCCACGACCAUGAAACAAAAUUUCCCUUCUCAAAACCCAAAACAAUACUUUUCUCUCAAACUCACUCAUCUAUUCACUGAUUUUCCUCCAUUCUCCUUCAAUUUCUCAAGAGCCAAACAUAGCAAACGCCUUGUCAGUGCGGCCAAGCCCAGCCGUCGUGCAGCGUGAAUCAUUAAAUGAGUGGUGCAGCCGCAGCAUCUGAAUCUUUAAUUGGAGCGACGGUGUCAUUUGAAUUCGAACAACAGCGUGGUGCGGCGGUGGUGCUAUGGCGAGAUUCGAACGGAUUCACGUGCAGAUUUCAUUUUUCCAUUUAGGUAUUCAAGUGUUUUAGUUGAUGGCUCUAUAAAGCCAAAUAAAUAAAUAAAUAAAUAAUAAUAAUCUAUUGAAAUCAUUUUCAUGAAAUCUGGAAGUGUAGAGGCGUUGAUGUGAGAGAGAGUGAGUAAGAGGGUAGUGGAGAUUGUGGUGUUGAAUUGAUGAAUUUAGGAGAUGGGCAUUUUUUUUUUUAAUUUGUUGGCUUGUUUGUUGGUUUGAAUGUUUGUGUUCUGUUUUCUAGCAAUUGUUGUGGGAAUGAGGUGAAUGUUAAGAAUUUGGAGAAGAAUGUAAAAAUAUUGGUGAUUCGAAUUUUUCAAAAAAAAAAAGAAAAUCAUGGUUGAUUCUUGCAUGAAUAAGAUGAUUGCUGCUAGAACAGUCAGUUACUUUUUUUUUUCUGUUUCCCAAUGUUUCACUUUUCCAACUCUUGUUGAUUCAGGGGAAGCCUGAGUUGGUGGCCGAUGAUGAAACCAAGAUGGCACAGAUGGUUUGCUCUCCAACAAACCAUGAAGAGUACACGGCUUGUGGAAGUUAAAGGAGCAAAUUCUGGUUAUAUUCCUUGAAAAAUAUAUAUUACCUAGGCAUAGGUUACUGACCCUUAAUUGAAGGGGGCAUGUUUUGAUAAUAUGGGUAUCUGAAGUAUGAUUAAAUAACUUUAACAUGAAGUAACUUAAAAUGCUAUGUAUAGCUUAUGUGUUAAUAUAUCUUGUUAACUGUAUAGUUCCUAUUUUGUGCUGGGUUGCUGUAUUAAGAGUUUGAAUACUGUGGAACCUGAAGUAACGAUGACAAUUUAUUGAAUUAGGUUAUGACAAUUUAUUGAAUUAGGUUAAUUACAAUUAACACUAGUGUUACUCAUGAUUGCAAAGUUGUAUUUUUUGGUCCGAUUUUAUCCUAGGAAUGAUAUGAGAAGUUUUAAAUAUGGUGCUUUACUUAAGAUUUUAUAUGCCUUCUUGUGAAUUCAUGCAUACUUAUUCAUGUCUCACAUCUUCUCAUUGGGUGCUCAGAACGCAUUUUGGUAAUUGCAUGCAAUAACAUUGAGGGGUGAAUGGUGAUGGCCUCCUUAAAUGGAAGAAAUGAAUGAAUGGAUUAGGAGAAGCCACAGUAAGAGUGGAGUGCAUUUGAAAUUCCUAUCACACCCAUUUGGAUGCACUGUUUUCCACUCUAUUUAAAUUUCCUUUAUCCUUCAAAUUAAGUUGAAAGUAGUUUUGAAUUUUGAUGAUGGAGCCUUAGACUCUUGAAAAUCUUGAAGAUUGCGAUGUUGCUGAAGAGCAUGGAGAUGGAGUGAUUGCUGAAGAUGCUGAAGCUGGUGUUGCUAUUGUUGCUGCAAUAGUGAAGUUGUUGAGGUUAGUAGCAGCAUUGUAAAUGGCGGUGUUGUUGCUGCUGAAGAGAGCCCGCAUGGUAAGGGAUGAUAUUUGACAUUAUUUAUGGAUAUAGCAUAACCGUUCUUAUUCUAAUAUUCAACAUUAAUUUUACAGAUGAAGAGAAGCCUUAAUAUUGCUGCUUGCUAGGGAAAGAAUAAGUGAAGAGAAGCUGAAUCAGAUCUUAGAAGACAUGCUUGAAGGUUUUUUUUCCAAUAAAAAGAGAAGCAACAUCACAAAGACUACUUAUUGGGGCAAAAUUAAUAUUGGGAAGAAGAAUAAUCCGUGGGAAAAUGCUAUGUAGAUGCUCCUAAGAUAGAGAUAUAUGAGUUUUGUAACUAAGUUAAUAUCUUGGUUACUAAUUAUAGUGAAACACAUUUAUUUAGAUUCUUAUUAGGUUUAUUAUUUUCUUGGAACUUGCUGUGGACAAAGAAUUUAAUAUGUCAAGUGAAUUGUGUCUAUUGUACAUCGACUUUAACAUAUAAUAAAUCAAUAAAUGAUUCAAUUUUAACAGUACCUGUAUUUAUAUCAAUAAGACUUUCAAAGAUACUAUAAAUAUAAGUUUGUAUAUUUGAAACCCUAGUGUUCAAUAAAUUUGAAUAAUAUUAAUUUAUUAAUAAAUUAAUAUUUUUACAUUAUAAUUUAUUCAUAAAUUUAUAAUUUAUUAUAACUAAUAAUAAAUAUUUAAAUUUGAAUAAAUUUGAAUCAUAUUAAUUUAAAAUUAAUAAUAAUAUAAAUAAUAUAAAAUAUUAACACAAUUUAAAUAUAUUAAUAUAAUAUAAUAUAAUAUUUAAUUUCAAUUAAUCACAAAAAAAUAAUACAGUGUAGCACCAAAUAUUGUACAAUAUUAUUAUAAUACAGUACUAAUGCAAUACAGUAUAAUACAAUACAAUGUGCCAAACGCACCCUAAAUACAUUAAACUUCAUUAUAAAAAAGUCUACAUUGGCAUCAUGCUCAUCUUAUAGUUGCCGGUAUUAAUUAUUUUUGCACCAUAGUUUCCGUAGAAUCAAUUGGGUACCCAGUUCCGGAUGAAGGGUUGGAACCGCCGUUGGAGCAUGGACAUAGGAUGGAGACAACUCGAAUGAGUAGUUUUGAAGAAUCAUUGUCGUGGCCAUUUUUGCUUCUACUAGAGCAAAAUUUUGUCCAACACAUAUCCUAGGACCCAAUGCGAAUGGGAAAUAUGAAACUUGAUUUUUCGCCGCCUUUGAAAUUCCUUCCGCAAACCUUUCCGGCUUAAACUCAACUGCAUCGUCACCCCAAAGUUCAGGAUCCUGGUGAACUAGGAUCAUUGGCAAGCCAAUUUGAACCCCAGCGGGUAAUGUCAAGUUUCCGAGUUUCGUUUCCUUAAGAACAGCUCGACUAAGCAUAGUUACGGGCGGAUAAAGCCUGAGUACCUCAUAAAGUAUCAUCUGGACCUGUCACAUACAUACAAACACAACUGAGAUUAAUAUGAUCAAAUUGAUCAAUAUCGAAUACUAUUUCCUUCGUACUUACAAUUUUGAGGUGAUUCAAUCCAUCAUAGUCGGGCUUAUUAUUGCCAAACACUUGCAAAACCUCUUGCCUUGCACGUUCUUGCCAAUCUUGAUGCUUGCUCAAUAAGACCAUCGUCCAAUUAAGCAAAACAGAGGUAGUCUCUUGGCCGGCAAAGUAAAAUAGCUUACACUCUUCGAUCACAUCGUUCAUGCUGAACCCAACAUUUUUGUUAUUUCCAUGUUCUUCAAUCUCUCUAAAACUGGUUUCCAUCAGUAUGCCUAACAAGUCAUUAUUCGCAGCUUCCCCUGCUUUCAUUGCCUUCUCCCUAUUUUUGAUGAUUCCCAUCAAUGAAGCCCGGAUUUCCUUGUCAAUUUCUUUCAUUCUCCUAUUUCUCUUUGUAGGUAAAAACCUAUAUAUAAGCAAUGAAAGAACUGAAAAGACAAGAUCUAAACAAACUAAUCAAACCCUUAAUUUUUUUUUGCCCUCUUUUUACCAAUCAGAAAUCUGCUGGAGCCUCUUAGAAUAACUCUAUGAUUAGCACAAUCAAGAUAUCUGAGCCGAAGUCAGCUAG